UUGUGACCACAACCUCUAAACCUUCUUCCUUGUUCAAUGAAAAUAACAAAUCUUUUGCCUAGUUUAGGAAAAAAAGUACCAAGCGACUGUCUGAUUCAGGAACAGCAUAACUUCAGAGUUAAACUGGGGUUACGAAAGCAGAAUAAUCACAAUCCUAACUUCACUUCAUCCUCAGCUACAAUUCAUUUUGUGGAGAGACGGAUUAUGGGCUGUGCAAUCGCGAUGUAUUGAUCGGUGCACCAGGCACGUAUAUAUAAGUACAGAGUUGGACCACAACCUCAACUAUACAGGGAAAACAGGAGGUGGGCCCUACACACACAUAUACACGUACACAAUAUACUCAACACCCCCCGCAGUCGAAGCGGCGCCAGUGACGCAGAAACUGGAACGAAACUCCUCAAAGGUGGAAGUCGGCAGUCCCUUCGUCAUCACAUCAGCGAACUGCUGAGCAGUCGGCACAUGGAGAACCCGCAUGCGUCCAAGAGCCACCUGCUCGCGCACGAAGUGAAUGUCCAGCUCGAUGUGUUUCGUCCGGCGAUGAUGAACGGGGUUGGCGGAGAGGUACACCGCAGAGACGUUGUCGCAGUAGACAACCGUAGCCUGGGAGACAUCGUGAUGUAGCUCCUGAAGUAACUGUCGAAGCCAGGUGCACUCAGCGACAGCGUUGGCCACAGCUCGGUACUCAGCCUCGGCGCUAGAGCGCGAAACCGUGGGUUGUCGCUUGGACGACCACGAGACAAGGGAAGGACCGAGGUAGACGCAGUAGCCAGAGGUGGACCGGCGAGUGUCGGGGCAGCCGGCCCAGUCUGCAUCGGAGUAAGCCACCAUCUCCAAAUAAGUGGACGCCGUGAGUGUCAACCCAAGGGACAUCGUGCCGCGGAUGUAGCGAAGGAUCCGCUUCACGAGAGUCCAGUGAGAGUCACGAGGGGCGUGCAUGUGGAGACACACCUGCUGGACAGCAUACUGAAGAUCCGGUCUGGUGAGUGUCAAGUACUGGAGAGCGCCGACAAUAGACCGGUAGAAUGGAGCAUCCGACGCAGGCGAACCCUCAAGAGCAGAAACCUUGGCCUUCGCGUCAACAGGAGUAGCAACCGGGUGGCAAUUGAGCAUGCCAGCGCGCUCAAGAAGCUCAUGGGCAUACUUCUGUUGAUGAAGAAAGAAGCCGUCCGGGCGCCGAACAACCUCAAUGCCAAGGAAGUAAUGGAGAGCACCCAAGUCCUUGAUAGCGAACUCGUCACGCAGCCGCAGAGUGAUCUGCUGAAGAACGGCUGUGGAGGAGGCUGUCAGGAUGAUGUCGUCGACGUAGAGCAGCAAAUAUGCAGUCGUGUCACCAUGGCGAUAGACAAACAGUGAGGCGUCCGAGCGAGUGACGCUGAAGCCCAGUGUCUGAAGAAACCCGGCGAUCCGCUGGUACCAGGCGCGGGGUGCCUGCUUGAGCCCGUAAAGAGAGCGCGACAGCAGGCACACAUGGCCGGGCAAUGAGGCGUCGACGAAACCGGUGGGUUGCUCACAAAACACCUGCUCCUCAAGAUGGCCGUGGAGGAAGGCGUUGGAGACAUCCAUCUGGUGAACGGGCCAGCCGCGAGAGACGGCGAGCUGGAGGACAGUGCGGAUCGUGCCCGGUUUGACAACCGGGGCAAACGUCUCCGUGAAAUCGACUCCAGCGCGCUGAGCGGGUCUUAUGACGGAAGACCCACUUGCCGGUGAUGACGUUGGCACGAGGAGGCCGGGGCACCAGAGUCCAGGUGCGGUUCCGCUGGAGAGCAUCAAACUCUUCCUGCAUCGCCGCAAGCCAGUGAGGAUCACGUAGGGCGGCGCGGGCGGACGUAGGAAUGGGUGACGGCUCCGCGGCAGAGGCGCGAGGACGUACUCAUCACGCGAGUACNNNNNNNNNNNNNNNNNNNNNNNNNNNNNNNNNNNNNNNNNNNNNNNNNNNNNNNNNNNNNNNNNNNNNNNNNNNNNNNNNNNNNNNNNNNNNNNNNNNNNNNNNNNNNNNNNNNNNNNNNNNNNNNNNNNNNNNNNNNNNNNNNNNNNNNNNNNNNNNNNNNNNNNNNNNNNNNNNNNNNNNNNNNNNNNNNNNNNNNNNNNNNNNNNNNNNNNNNNNNNNNNNNNNNNNNNNNNNNNNNNNNNNNNNNNNNNNNNNNNNNNNNNNNNNNNNNNNNNNNNNNNNNNNNNNNNNNNNNNNNNNNNNNNNNNNNNNNNNNNNNNNNNNNNNNNNNNNNNNNNNNNNNNNNNNNNNNNNNNNNNNNNNNNNNNNNNNNNNNNNNNNNNNNNNNNNNNNNNNNNNNNNNNNNNNNNNNNNNNNNNNNNNNNNNNNNNNNNNNNNNNNNNNNNNNNNNNNNNNNNNNNNNNNNNNNNNNNNNNNNNNNNNNNNNNNNNNNNNNNNNNNNNNNNNNNNNNNNNNNNNNNNNNNNNNNNNNNNNNNNNNNNNNNNNNNNNNNNNNNNNNNNNNNNNNNNNNNNNNNNNNNNNNNNNNNNNNNNNNNNNNNNNNNNNNNNNNNNNNNNNNNNNNNNNCGUCGAGGCGGCCGGAGAUGGAGCCGGUGAAGAGGCGCCCGACCCCACGGCGCCCGAGUCGGGGGCGGCGGGUGAAGGCGGGGUGCCGGCCAUGGAGGGCGCCGGCAGUAGGGCCCGUGGACCGCCAAAGCCCGGAGGCGGUCCACGAACCAGGCGUGCUCGUCCAUCUGACGAGGUCGUCGAUGGGCCGCCGGUGGCCGGCGGUGACGAGACGACGGGGGGUGCCUGCUGCUGAAACGGGAAGACCAUCUCAUCAAAGUAGACGUGUCGGGAGGUGAAAACACGGUGAGAGACUGGAUCGUAGCAGCGGUAACCCUUAGUGUUAGGUGGGUAGCCAAGAAAGAUGCAGGCGACGGAGCGGGGUGCGAGCUUAUGAGGCGCAGUGGCAGCGAUGCUAGGGUAGCACAGGCAGCCAAAGAUGCGAAGCCCUUCAUAAGAGGGGGGGCACCGAAUAGAAGAUGGUGAGGUGUAAAGUUCCCGCGAGUACGUCAUGGACGGAUGUUGAUGAGAAGAGAAGCGGUGGCGAGAGUGUCAGGCCAAAAGCGCGGGGGCACAUUGGCGUGAAAGAGAAGAGUCCGAACGCAGUCAUUAAGAGUGCGAAGGAUGCGCUCAGCACGACCGUUCUGCUGCGAGGUGUACGGGCAAGUGAGACGAAAAAUCUUGCCAUGUGUGGCGAGAAGAUCGCGGACAGCGGUGUUGUCAAACUCCUUCCCGUUGUCUGUCUGCAACGCAAGAAUGGGCCGGCCAAACUGCGUGCGGACAUAAGAGUAGAAACCGACAAGAGUGGAGAUGACGUCCGACUUGCGGCGCAACGGGAAGGUCCACACAUAAUGCAAAAAAUCAUCAAGGAUAACAAGAUAAUAAAGAAAGCCCGCGUUACUUGCAACAGGAGAUGUCCAAACAUCACUAUGAAUCAACUCAAAUGGGUACGAGGCAACAAAGGAAGAAGCCCUAAACGGAAGACGAGCAUGUUUGCCAAGGCGGCAUGCAUGACACGAGUGAUCCUCGUUCUUAUUACACGUGAAAGAAAAACUCCGAAGUAUGUGGCGAAGGGUGGCAUGAUUAGGAUGACCCAAGCGAGCGUGCCAGAGAUCCACUCCGGUGGCGAGAGCGACAGGGGCGGCGGAAGUGGUGGAGGCGGCGGAGUGAACCGGGUAGAGCUCGUCGGGGCUGUCACAUCGGUGGAGCACCAUCCGCGUGCGAGCGUCCUUAACAGAAAAGCCACAUUCGUCAAAUUCAACGGUCACCGGAUUUUCACGUGUAAGAGAACGAACGGAAACAAGAUUUUUUAAUAAGAUCAGGAGAAACAAGAAUAUUGGACAUGGAUAUAGGAGUGGAGUUAGACGGAAAAUAUGUAUGUCCAAUAUGGGUGAUAGGAAGAGAAGAACCGUCACCGACGGUGAUGCGGUUGGAGGUGUGGACAGGGUGAGCAGUGUGGAGGUUACCGGGGUACGCCGCCAUAUGAGCGGUGGCGCCACUGUCCAUGUACCAAUCGCCGCCGCCGGUGUAGCUGGACGGGGAGGGGGCGGUGUGGAGAGCCGCCAGGAGAGCCGGGUCCCACGGCGCCGGUGGGAGGGACGGCGCAGACGUCAGGGGCAGCGGCGGCGGCCCGCCUGGCGGCGGCUGCUGCCCGUAGGGCGCCGCAUAGGGCUGCGGCGCGGCGUAAUACGCCUGGUGUGACAGAGGCCGAGUGCUAAGAAGACCCGGAGUAGGAGCCCGUGGAACUGGCAUGGAAUAGGCGUGGACGACGCCGGUCCACGAGUUCUGACCGGCGUACCACGGGGCCGCCGGCUGAGGAGCCGGCUGCUGCUGGCGUGGCGCUCCUCCCUGAGCACCGCCACCACCACCGCCGCCUCCCUGCUUGCGGCCACCCCGGCGGCCGCCGUGACGGCCUCCUCCAUUGGCCGCCGGCUGGGGCGGCGGGAAGGGGGCUGGUGGGGCGGGCGGGAAGCCCGGCGGGAAGGCGGGCGCCGCCNNNNNNNNNNNNNNNNNNNNNNNNNNNNNNNNNNNNNNNNNNNNNNNNNNNNNNNNNNNNNNNNNNNNNNNNNNNNNNNNNNNNNNNNNNNNNNNNNNNNNNNNNNNNNNNNNNNNNNNNNNNNNNNNNNNNNNNNNNNNNNNNNNNNNNNNNNNNNNNNNNNNNNNNNNNNNNNNNNNNNNNNNNNNNNNNNNNNNNNNNNNNNNNNNNNNNNNNNNNNNNNNNNNNNNNNNNNNNNNNNNNNNNNNNNNNNNNNNNNNNNNNNNNNNNNNNNNNNNNNNNNNNNNNNNNNNNNNNNNNNNNNNNNNNNNNNNNNNNNNNNNNNNNNNNNNNNNNNNNNNNNNNNNNNNNNNNNNNNNNNNNNNNNNNNNNNNNNNNNNNNNNNNNNNNNNNNNNNNNNNNNNNNNNNNNNNNNNNNNNNNNNNNNNNNNNNNNNNNNNNNNNNNNNNNNNNNNNNNNNNNNNNNNNNNNNNNNNNNNNNNNNNNNNNNNNNNNNNNNNNNNNNNNNNNNNNNNNNNNNNNNNNNNNNNNNNNNNNNNNNNNNGCCGGCAACAAGGGCGGUGUGGGUGGCGCGCGUCUGGGCCGCCCGCAUCCCGCGUUCCUCCAGCUUGAGGUAUGCGACCACCUUGCCAAAGGUGGGCUCCGGGAUGAGGGUGAGGUUGGAGGCGGCGUUCCCGAAGUCCUCGUUGAGGCCGCCGGAGAGGGUGCUGAUGAGGAGCUCGUCGUCAAUCUUCUCCCCCAGAUCACGGAGCUCAUCGGCGAGCUUCUUGAGGCGCAUGCAAAAAUCAUCGAUGGACGAGUCAAGUUGCUGGCACCCGUAAAACUCCAUAGAGGAGGACCUUGCGCUGCAGCCGAUUGUCGGUGAAGAGGCCGUUGAGCUUGGUCCAGACUGCAUGGGCGUCGUCCUCGUCGUCCACCACGGUGUGGAAGAUGUCGCUGGAGAUGGUGAGGUAGAACCAGCGGAUGAUGGUGGCGUCGAGGAUCAUCCACUCCUCGUCGUGGAUCAUGAGCGCAGAGUCCACGGUGCCGUCCACGUGGCCGUGAAGGAGGUACUCACGAAACACGAGCGAAAAAUACCGCUUCCACGCGGAGUAGGAGGCGGUGGUGUGGUCAAGCUUGACCGGGACGCGCUCAUGGAUGUUCAGAUCGCGGACGAGGGUGACGUCGGGGCCGGCGAACGGGUUGGAGACGGUAGAGGAGGAGGAGCUCAUGAUGGCGGCGGUGGUGGGGUUAGGGCGCGGCGCGGGUUGGGAGUGAUGGAGCGGAAGCGGUGCGGCGGCCUUGGGACGGGAGGCGGCGGCGGCGGCAGGCGGGGCGGGCGUGUGGCGGCGGCGGCGACGNNNNNNNNNNNNNNNNNNNNNNNNNNNNNNNNNNNNNNNNNNNNNNNNNNNNNNNNNNNNNNNNNNNNNNNNNNNNNNNNNNNNNNNNNNNNNNNNNNNNNNNNNNNNNNNNNNNNNNNNNNNNNNNNNNNNNNNNNNNNNNNNNNNNNNNNNNNNNNNNNNNNNNNNNNNNNNNNNNNNNNNNNNNNNNNNNNNNNNNNNNNNNNNNNNNNNNNNNNNNNNNNNNNNNNNNNNNNNNNNNNNNNNNNNNNNNNNNNNNNNNNNNNNNNNNNNNNNNNNNNNNNNNNNNNNNNNNNNNNNNNNNNNNNNNNNNNNNNNNNNNNNNNNNNNNNNNNNNNNNNNNNNNNNNNNNNNNNNNNNNNNNNNNNNNNNNNNNNNNNNNNNNNNNNNNNNNNNNNNNNNNNNNNNNNNNNNNNNNNNCGCGGAGCCGCGCGGCGGCGGCGACGGGGGUUAGGACCUUACUGCGAUAGAUACCAUGUGGAGAGACGGAUUAUGGGCUGUGCAAUCGCGAUGUAUUGAUCGGUGCACCAGGCACAUAUAUAUAAGUACAUAGUUGGACCACAAUCUCAACUAUACAGGGAAAACAGAAGGUGGGCCCUACACACACAUAUACACGUACACAAUAUACUCAACACAUUUCACCCCCCAAUUCAACAGAUACGAUUCCGAACUACCUAAAUCAGCACGGUCCAAAAACAAAAACAGAGCUCAUACAACUGCCUGGUGCAGCCACCUGGAACUACAGUCAGAAAGGGAUCAAUCGAUGCGGUUCCCAUCUACUCUUCCUCCAUGUCGUCCACCUCUCCGCCGUCCUGCAUGAUCUUCAUCUUCUUCACGGCGUGCGCCGCAUCGCCCUCAACAGCUCCGCUAGGAACCUGGAUGAGGAUGUCGGACUUGUGGCCCGUGCGCGCGUUCACCAGCCCUCCGUGCUUGUCGACGCCAUAGGUCAGCUCGUCCUUGCUGGGCGCAGCGUCGAUGUACACCGUGGAGUUCUCGUCGAUCUCCUCGCGGAUCAACAUCUUGGAAAGCUCCGUCACUAUCCUCUUCUCGAUCCAUCUCCUGAUUGGCCUGGCGCCGUACACCUGUUGCCACAAUUGAAAUGUCACCGAGUUAGAAUCUACUCCAGAAGAUACUCCUUGAUCAGUGCUUGAUUAGUGAAGAAUGAGAUUCGAUACUUCCACGUACCGGAUCAUAAGAGAGUGAGAGGAUGACGUCCAGGGCAGCGUCUGUGACGGCCAAGGCAACGCCCCUCUCCGCAAGACGUACUGCCACAUCUUUCAUCUGAAGCCGGGCAACCUUCCGCAGCUGCUCGUGCGACAGAGGGUCGAAGAUGACGAUCUCGUCCAGACGGUUCAGCAGCUCCGGGCGGAAAUGCCUCCUCACCUGCAGGUGAACAUUGUUCUCGCAUUAGGCAUCAGACCGCAAACUGAUUGAUUCCGAACAAAAGGCAGAUCAGGGGCAAAUUCAGUAGUACAUACCUCCUGCAUGACGAGAUCGCGAGCAACCUUCAUGGAGUUGCCCACCAUUCCGGCGAGGAGGUGCUCCGCGCCAAGGUUCGAGGUCAUGAUGAUGACGGUGUUCCUGAAAUCAACCGUCCUGCCUUGCCCGUCGGUCAACCGCCCGUCGUCCAGGACCUGGAGCAGGGUGUUGAAUACCGCCACAUGUGCCUUCUCAACCUCGUCGAAGAGGAUGACACUGUAUGGCCUCCUCCUCACUUGCUCUGUCAGCUGCCCUCCUUCCUCAUGACCAACGUAACUGCAAAUUCACAACAAGUUCAGAUGUCAAAACUCAGAAAUCGCAUAACAUGCACAGAUCCAUAGUGAGCAUACAGAAUUACUCGAGUACUUACCCAGGUGGGGCACCGAUUAGCCGGGCAACCGAAUGCUGCUCCAUGUAUUCAGACAGGUCAAUGCGGACGAGCAGGUUCUCGUCAUCAAACAGCUGCUCAGCUAGAGCCUUGGCGAGCUCGGUUUUACCCACACCGGUCGGCCCGAGGAAGAGGAAUGAACCAGUAGGCUGCUGUGGCCGUCCAAGGCCAGCCCUCGACCGCAAAACAGCCUCUCCGACUGCAUUGACGGCCUCAUACUGUCCAACCACCCUCUGAUGCAGUCUAUCAGCCAGACCGAUCAGCCUGGCCUUCUCAUUCUGUCCCAGCCUAGUGACAGGAAUGCCAGUCCAGCGGCUCACCACCUGCGUAUGCAAAGAGAUUGUCUCAAUACAACAUCGUUCAUACCUGAAGAGUGAACAACACCAUAAAAUUGAUUGCAACAACGAACUUACCUCGGCAAUCUGGUCCGGGCCGACAGUCUCUGUUAACAUCAGGUUCUCGCCGGUCUCACCCUCCAGCUUAGCGAUGGCAGCAUCAACCUCCUGCAGAGCACCGUAUCUGAGAUCAGCCACGCGGGCCAAAUCCAUCCGGCGCUCGGCCUCCUGCAGAGUGAACUGCAGCUCUUCGCGGCGCUGCUUCAGUCUCCUGAUCUCGUCGAUCCUCUCUUUCUCCUUGCGAUACUUCAUCUGCAGCGGCUGCAGCUUGUCUCGCAGAUCGUCCAACUCUUUCCUCACCUGAAACAGUUCCGAGUUUUUGCACAUUGUCAGAACAGAGCAGGCACAGUGCAGUUUUUGCACAUUAUCAGAACGAAUCAGCUACACUGAUAAAAUCAAGAUCACCAAAUUCACCGGUUACUCACAUCAACUAGCCGAGCUUUGCUAGCCUUGUCCUUCUCCUUCUCGAGGGCAUGGAGCUCGACUUCCAACUGGAUCCUCUUCCUCUCGAGGUUGUCGAUCUCUUCAGGCUGGCUGUCAAGUUGCACCCUCACAUUUGCGCAGGCCUCGUCAACCAAAUCGAUUGCUUUAUCAGGCAGAUGACGACCUGUAACAAAAGGAAAAAUAUCGUCGAUUUAAGACCGGAGAUCAAUCAAUGCAAAAACACUGCAAAAUUGACCGUGCAGAAAUCACAAUGUCAGAAAAUUGGCUUGGCAAGAACAGAGCACUUACCCAUGAUGUACCUCGACGAGAGCUGCGCGGCAAUGACGAGCGCGCGGUCCUGAAUCCUCACACCAUGGUGCCCCUCGUACUUCUCCUUGAGCCCUCUCAGUAUGCUGACGGUGUCGGGGACGCUGGGCUCUGCCACGAACACCUGCUGGAACCGCCUCUCGAACGCCGCGUCCUUCUCCACGUACUUCCUGUACUCCUCGAGGGUCGUCGCGCCAAUGCACCUGAGCUGCCCCCUCGCCAGCAUCGGCUUGAACAGGUUGGCCGCGUCCAUGGACCCCUCCGUCCGCCCGGCGCCGAGCACCAGGUGUAUCUCGUCGAUGAACAGUAUCACCUUCCCCUCGGCCUCCUCCACCUCCUUGAGCACGGCCUUGAGCCGCUCCUCGAACUCGCCGCGGUACUUGGCGCCGGCCACGAGCGCGCCCAUGUCCAGCGCGACCAGGCGCACGUCCAGGAGGUUGCUGGGGACGUCGCCGCGCACGACGCGCUGCGCGAGCCCCUCCACCACGGCGGUCUUGCCCACGCCGGGCUCGCCGAUCAGGACGGGGUUGUUCUUGGUGCGCCGCGACAGGAUCCGCACCACGCGCCGGAUCUCCUCGUCGCGGCCGAUGACCGGGUCCAGCUUGCCCGCCACCUCCACGAGGUCGCGGCCGUACGUCUUGAGGGCCUGGAAGUUGGUGUCCCCCGACGCGGACUCCACGCGCCGGUUGUCGCCUCCCCGGAGCUUCUCGACCUCUGCCUUCACCCGCGCGGCGGAGAUGCCGGCCUCCUUGAGCGCGUCGGAGAUCUGUGGGUCCUCGAGGAGGCCCAUGAGCAGCUGGUCGACGGCGAGGUGCGAGUCGCCGCGCGACUUCUGCGCCGACUGCGCGCGGCGGACGGCCUUGACCAGCGAAGUGGAGGCCGGGACGGUGUCGGGCGGCGGGGACUGCGAAGGCAGCCGCUUGAGCGCUGCGGUCGCGACGCGCUCGAACGACUCGGCCGCGGCGUCGUUGCCGCCGGACGCGUGGGCGAUGGCCUGGCGGAGGAUGCCCGACCUGUCCGCCGCGAGCGCCGCGGCGAGGUGCAGCGGCGUGAGCUGCGCAUGGCCGGCCUCGGACGCCAUCUCGUGCGCCGCCGCGAGCGCCUCAUUGGUCUUGUGCGUGAACUUGUCGGGAUUCAUGGCUUCGCUUCUGCGAACUACGGAUUAACUGCAACGGAACUGGCAAUGGUGAUUUGGGGGGAUUCGUUGGUUCGAUGAUUCGCCUUGGUGUCUUCUUCUCGUCGGAAAUUGUUGGGGGGAGAUCGGAGAUGAGAUGGGUAAUAAGAGGCGGGAGGGGAGGAUUCGCCGGAGGUCUAGAACGGCGUGGAAGCGGCGGGAAGGGGGCGAGUUAGGGGGGACAAGAAUGUCCGAGAACAUUCUAGUGUGGAACCGUUUUAUUUGGGAAAACCGGAACCGUGCGCGUUACUGUAUCUACUAUCACACGAGACAGUAUCCUGACCGUUGGUUCCGAUUUCAUGCCUUCCCCGUUUUUUUUUUUCGCUCUGUGCCCAGCAACUAUGUACAUGAAAUUCCUAAAAAAAACUAUGGACAGUAUACUUCCUCUAUCCCAUAAUAUAAGACUUUUUUACUCUAGUAUAGUGUCCAAAAGGUCUUGAUUAUGGGACGGGGGAGUAAUUUUUAAAGGGUAAAAGUAAAAUGAAACUUUUAUUUAACACAUUACAAUCGCAGAUGCUCACAAACACGCACAUAUACUAGCCCUUAUUAAUGCACGUAUACCUUGAAGGUGCCGAGUCGGCGCAAUAUCUUAUAAGAUUGAUAAAGUCACCACAAUCAUUUCAUAGUCGAUGGAAACAUCUCCUCCGACUGAACGAACAUCGCCAGAAACCUAACCAGUACCAGAUCUAGGACUUCAACCCUGAUGGGAUGGUUUCACCAAAAGAAAUCUAAUCAUCUGAGCUACGCUCAGCUCGCAAAAAUGUAAUGAAACUUGAAAAAUAUGAAAUACCUCAUUCUUCUCUCUCUUUUCAACAAUAUAAAUAAAUAAAAAUUUCUUAUAAAGAGUGUUUUAUUGAUUCAUAAUGUCGCAUCAAAGGAAUACAAGCAUAACUCGUUCGGCCUCUUUACGUCUAGGAUGCGCAGAGACAACAACAACAAAAAAGAUUUGUAAAGGCGUAGGCAAGGAAAAUGAUCCACUAGGCAAAACAUCAAGAACUACCCACUGCCUUUUACCACACCCAUAAUAUGAGAAGAUUCCCCAACAGCAAUGCCCUCACUAAGGAAAGGGUGCAUGAGCGUCAUUGUCAUUGGAUUCAACCACUAAGGUCAGAUUAUGGAUUUUCAUCCAAUAAAGGAAGUCCGAGCAAACUUCAGACAAUGUCUUCAACGAAGAGAGCGUAGACCGCCAGUAGUAAAUGUUAAACCUAGGGUUUUCCCCUGGACUCAAGAUCUUCUUCUAUGUGUGAGAUGAACUUUGGCUAUUCUUAUGCCGGUAUUGCUUUGAGUUUCUUGUAUGAUUUAUCUUGGCAAAAAUGAUGAUUCUAGAUGCACAACAAGUCGCAGAGCUCCCCAUUUACAGCUAGAAGACAAGCAACUAAUAUUGUGCAGUAAUUCACAGUACCGUGCGGAAAAUACCUAUACAAAAGGGGAUUGUCCGUUUUAUAAGUUGUUUGAGAAUGAUUUCAUUGCAUCUCAAUAGUAGUAACAUGCCUUUAAAAUCUACAUAUAAGGGCCUCUUUGAUUCAUAGGAUUGCAGAAACACAGGAAUAGGAAAAAUGUAGGAUUGGAACGGCAUGUCGAUUGGAUCCCUAUAGGAUUUGAGCUUGUUUGAUUGUGUCACGGGAAAAACAAAGGAUUUCUUCCAAGAGGUUGGAGUGGAUGUUAGAAUACCUAUGAAACGCAACACAAAUGAAUCCUUAGGAGAAAAUCCUACAGAACUCAAUCCUACGAAUCAAACAACAAAUGUAGGAAACUGUCCUAAGGAUUCUAAUCCUUCAAAGAUCCUAUGAAAAUCCUUUGAAUUAAAGAGAUUGUCGUGGUUUUGUCACGGCAUAUGUCCUAGUGUGAGGACUUAGUCAUGAGGCCAUCACAACUAGGUAGUCGCUUGAACGGGGUUGGUCGGCAUCGAGAAACGUGGGAUUUUACCCAGGUUCGACCCCUCACGGUGGAGGUAAAAGCCUACAUCCUGCUUCAUUGAUAUUGAUGAUGAUGAUGCUCUCGGUUACAAGGGCGGUGUUUUGCUACCUCUAUCUCGAGAGCAUCUACUUUGAUCUUGUCUAAGACUUGUCUGUCUUUCUAAACUCCUCCCUCUUGGGGUGCCUUGCCCCUCCUUAUAUAAGUUGAAGGGGCUGGCUUACAUGUACAGUCCUAGUAGGAUUAGGACUAGUCUAUCUUCUAUUACAAACCAACUACAAGUCCGGGUCUUGCUUUCCUUGUCGGGUCUUGCUCUUCUUGGACCUUCUCCAUGAGACGGCCGUCCAGGCCUCUCCUUGAGUUGCCCCUCUCACGAGCCGCCUUCUGGGCCUUGGGCCUUGCCGCUUGUCUGACCCACUAACCGGAUCACCAAUGAACCACCAAGUCCGGACGGGUUACCGAUGAGGCGCCAAGUCCCGGUCGGGUCAUACUUCAGGUCGGGUUAUACCAUGGGGUAUAUCCGCAACAGACACCCUAACCGUUCUCGUCAUAUGAUUUGAAUUUUGUAAUGAAACUUUGCUAAAAUUGUAUGCUUUCUAUAUCAUGUUCAGUGACUGGGAUUUACGAAAGUCUCAGGCGAGUGAGAAUGAUGAAGCGUGUUGGUAAUAUAUUACUCCCUCUAUCCCAAAAUAAGUGGCUCAACUUUGUACUAGCUUUAGUAUAAAGUUAGUACAAAGUUCAGUCACUUAUUUUGGGAUGGAGGGAGUAUAUAAGAGAGGUCGUGAUAGACCAAACUUAACAUAGGAGGAGUCCAUAAAGAGAGAUUCGAAGGAGUGGAAUAUUUGAAAGUGCUAGUUAUCGACUAAAGGGGGGUGACUAGGCGAUUUUUAUGAAAGACUUCAAGACAGGCAAUGUCUUCGAAGACAAACAACCAAAUACAACCUACACAGUAUGCAACAGAAGAUAAACUACACUAGCCAGGACAUAGUCUAGGAAAUAGUACAGAGUAAACACGAAGGCAAACAUCAACUAGGUAGAGUGGAUUUGACUAGGAAGAUAAUAUGAAGCCAAACAUAAAAACAGAAAGAUUUUUUUCAGACAGUGAAGUUAAACAGAGCAGGCAAGCAACGACUUCACGAAGCGAAACUAUAAGUAAAGGGUAAAGUGAUAGAACCAGUUGCUUAACGAAGACACGAAUUUGGUAGACCAGUUCUAGUUGCUCUGACAACUGUACGUCUAGUUAGGGAGGCUGAGAUUGAACUCAGAAGACUGUCGGUGUCAAAAUCGGCAGAUCUCGGGUAGGGGGUCCCGAACUGUGCGUCAGAGGAUCAAAGGUAACAAGGAGGCAGGGGACACGAUGUUUACCCAGGUUCGGGCCCUCUUAAUGGAGGUAAUACCCUACUUCCUGCUUGAUUGACUUUGAUGAGUAUAGGGGUUAUAAGAGUUGAUCUACGUCGAGAUCAUAAUGGCUAAACCCUAGAUGUCUAGCAUGUAUGAUUGUUAUCCUCCCUAUGGACUGAGCCAUCUAGUUUAUAUAGGCACCGGAGGGAUCUAGAGUCGUAUAGAGUCGGUUUAUAGAGAAAGGAAGGUACAUGAUCUGAACGCCAAGCUUGCCAUCCACGCAAAGGGGAGUCCCAUCCGGACAUGGGGGAGGCCCUUCUAUCUUGUAUCUUCUCGGCCCAUCAGUCUGGCCCAUGUCACAUAGGCCGGCUCGCCGAGGACCCCAUAGUCCAGGACUCCCUCAGUAGCCCCUGAACCGGGCUUCAAUGACGAUAUGUUCGGCGUGUAGAUUGUCUUCGGCAUUGCAAGGCAUGUUCCUUCUCAGAAUACUCCAAUGCAGUCCUCCAUGCAAAACAGCUCUGUCCGGCUUUAUUAAACAAUCACAGCCUUAAGCUGUAAGGAAAAAAUAUUCGAAACGAAAUAAGUGACGUCCUUAGGCGAUUUUUCCGGCAAGGCGUUAUGUCUUGGCUUUGUUAGCAUUCUGAACCGUUUCACAGCCUCAUUUCAUAUUUCGAGGCACGGCCAUUGACACGUCUUGUAAAAGCAGAGAUCGUGUCCUCUUAUCAUGGGAUUUUCAUAAACAGGGGUUUGGGUAAUCCAACCGUGCCGUUCACACGUCCCCUUGGGAAUAGGCGAGAUUUAAGGCUCGUGAGGGGCGCUUGACAUCCACUGCCUUUAUAAGAAGAUAAAGAUCCGUCUCUUUACCCUACGCCUUCUUCCUCCUCUGCCUAUUUGCCAUUCGAGCUCCAGCGCAAGUCUCAAUCUUUUCCAUCGCCACCAAACACCCCUAGCCAUGUCCGGAUCUGGAGCGCGAGGCAAGUGGAUGGCCUCCUCUGUUACAUAGGAGAACAUCAAGGAGCUCCGGGAGGCUGGGUAUCUGUCCACGGACAUAGUCCAUCGUCUCCCUGCUAAAAAGAAGAUCAUCCCCACUCCGGAGCCCAAUGAAAGGGUAGUGUUCAUCCCUCAUUUCCUUCGCGGACUAGGGUUUCCCCUUCAUCCUUUCAACCGCGGUCUCAUGUUCUACUAUGGGCUAGAUUUUCAUGAUCUGGCCCCAAAUUCCUUCCUCAACCUUUCAGCGUUUAUCGUCGUGUGCGAGGCAUUCCUCCGCGUCCCUCCCCACUUCGGCCUAUGGAUCAAGGUCUUCAAUAUGAAGCCAAAGGUGGUCGAGGGCCAACACGUGGAGUGCGGCGGCGUCAUGAUGAGCAAACUCCCCAACGUCACCUGGCCUAAGGGGACCUUUGUGGAGAGAGUCAAAGGAUGGCAGCGGGGGUGGUUCUAUAUCAUGGAACCCCACAACGCCACAUGGGCCACCGCUCCUGAAUUCAAAUCUGGGCCCCCGAUGCGGCUUACAUCCUGGCUCGAUAAGGGCCUAGAUUGGGAAUCGUCGGAUGAGGUGAUGGCAUUGGAGAGCCGGGUCAAGGGCAUGGUAAACAAGAACACUAGCCUCGCCAGCAUGAUCCAGGUGAUGCUUUUUUGCCGGAUUCUCCCUUGUCAACGCCGGACCUAACAUAUGUGGGAAUUCGACCCGACCGGUCCUCGGACCCUGCAGCGAUUCUUCGGCACGACGCACGAAGACAUAUGGAAGCUGCUCUUCAAGACUCAAAAGUCGUGGCCAGAGAUGACCGAAGACCGCAGCCUUGACUGCGCAUGCCCAUCCAUUACCGUAAGUUUUAUGAUAACUUUUAUUUGCAAAUACAAGGAGUAUAUUGAACUUUCUGACUCUCAUAGGGCUGGACAAAGAAUGCGGAGCAGAUCAAAUGUCCGGCUCCGCUGCCCGAGGACCAUGCUACCCCCUUGCUGACCAAUAUGUUGGUUCUGGCUCUGUAUCAGGCGUCGGAGAAGAAGGCCAAGAAUAAGGGUAAGGAGACCAGAGGUGGUCUCCAUCGUAAGGAUACUUCGGACGCCAAGUCCAAAGACUACGAUACCUCCUCCUCCCAUGAUGAAGAUGUAGAGGAGGAGGAGAGUAACUCCCCCCCCCAAGGGGGGAGAAGAAGAGGCCGACUUCCACAGAUCUGGAGGCGGAGGCGGCCAAGAAGGGAAAACCCUCCCUUUCAGAUGAUUCCGAAGGGGAUGCCGAUGCCAUCCCAAAGCGGCACGCCAGGCUAAAGCCCUUGGCUGAAUCAUAAGUAUCUGAAGACACCAUACAUAUAUCUGAUUGUAUGCCUUAUUAUUUUAACAUACUGAAUUGCGCAUUAUAUCCCGGCUCGUGAUUUCCCCCAACGAUCAUCGUCAUCUGGGAACUCGCUAGGGGCGAACGCGAUGGAGAGUGAGUCGCCUCCGCAGAUCUCUCCACCCACUGCCUCGGAUAACACUGAAGUGUUAUCCCAAAGAACCUCUCCACGACAUGGGGAGGUACAAGAGGCUAUGAAGGUGGCGGAGGAUGGUAACACCUCUGUUGCCGAAGAAAGGGGGAAAUCAACCCCCAUGGAGACCGACGAUGGGGGCAAAGCUUAAUUCGGCCCCCAACUGAAUAUUAUUCCGGAGACCCAUACGGCUCCGGAAUCGGACCAACAGCCUUCUUCAAGGGAAGGGGUCAUGCCGUCUCCACCGGCGUCCUCUAUCAAUCCAGAGGCGCCAGACACUCUGAUGGAAGCGCUUCAAAGUGCUUCCAUUGUGGAGGAGCACCGUACCCUUAUGGGUACAGUAGUUGAAAAGGUCUGGUCCGCUAAAAGUAGAUUGAACCAAGCCUAUACCAGCCUUCUGACAGGCUUUGAGGUAUGUGAAGUAAUAUAUUUUUAGUUAUUUACAAAAGGAAUACAUGUAUAUAGAUAGUAGCCCCUGAGACUUUGUUCAGCAUUUCAUGAAGAAAGGACGAACAGAGGAUCAAAUAAUACCUCUCAGGAGCUGGCAUAUAUGUCUACUUCGAUGAACAGGCUGCAAAGCUGGCAGCAGCCUCGCAUGCGACCGAAGUGUCCCAACUAAAGUGGAAGCUAGAGGAAAAGCAAGGUAUGUUAUACCGAAGCAUAUCUGAACUUCUAUGAGUUAUAAUGUAUUAUCUGACUUGAGCGUUAUGUUUAUGCUCAUAGUUGACACGUCUGAGGUUGAAGCCCUCAAGAGCGCACUGGCCGAAGCCAAGAAGGAGGCAGACGAGGAACGAACCGCCCCCAAAAGCAUGAGGCGAGGUUGGAUGAAGUCCAACAAGAGCUCAUAGAUGCUAUAAGAAAAUGUGAGUCUUUGGAGCGUGAGGUGUCGGAGCAAGACUCCAAACUUGCUACAACGCUCCAAAGUGCAAAGGAAGCCUGGGUUGAAGCCCAAGGCACAUGUCAGGAGAUCCAAGAAGCCAAGAAGAUCGCGGCGGGUAAGGUUUUUAAUAUGUAGAGCAAGUUCAUAAGGAGAAAGUACACCUUUCUGACAUGCAUUUGGAGUUCUCCAUGAGCAUUUGCGGAUCUUCCCCGAAGUAUUGCAGAUGCGGCAGAUUUCUUCCAAGCCGAAGAGGGGAGGUUAACAGAGAUAUUGUUCUGGUCACAGUACCUUACGCCAGAGCAGUAUGUGCCCCUCAGUGAUCAGGUGAAACAGCUGACCGAGCUACAUAGGAUGGCUGAACUAGCCAUGAAGGAUAUCAUAGUCCGUCUUUGGCCAGCCGAACCCAUACCUAAUAGCUAUUUCGGGCUUGUGAAGCGGCUAAUCAAUGCCUUCCCACGACUUGAUGCUAUAAAGCGGUCAGUCUAUAUCGAAGGCGCCUGGAUGGCCUUCGCCCGCGUCAAGAUGCAGUGGGCAAAGAUGAAUGCCACUAGUCUUGCAACCGAGGGACCGCCAGCAGGCAAGGAGCAUCGUACGCCGGAGUGAUACUUCAACAACAUCCUUGAAGGUUCCUGCAUUAUAGAGGGCAUGUGUUCGAAGGACAUCAUAUUUGAAUGAAUGUAGCCAUGCUGCCUGAUGACCCACAAGUGUAGGGGAUCUAUCGUAGUCCUUUCGAUAAGUAAGAGUGUCGAACCCAAUGAGGAGCAGAAGGAAAUGAUUAACCCCUAUUGCAAGCAUCCACAACUACAAAAGAAGUAUUAAGGUAAACCUAACCGUAGCAUGAAACAUGUGGAUCCAAAUCAGCCCCUUACGAAGCAACGCAUAAACUAUGGUUUAAGCUUCUAUCACUCUAGCAACCCAUCAUCUACUUAUUACUUCCAAAUGCCUUCCUCUAGGCCCAAACAAUGGUGAAGUGUCAUGUAGUCGACGUUCACAUAACACCACUAGAGGAAAGACAACAUACAUCUCAUCAAAAUAUCGAACGAAUACCAAAUUCACAUGACUACUUAUAGCAAGACUUCACGCAUGUCCUCAGGAACAAACGUAAGUACUCACAAAUCAUAUUCAUGUUCAUAAUCAGAGGGGUAUAAAUAUGCAUUAAGGAUCUGAACAUGUGAUCUUCGACCGAAUAAACCAACUAGCAUCAACUACAAGGAGUAAUCAACACUACUAGUGACCCACAUGUACCAAUCUGAGGUUUUGAGACAAAGAUUGGAUACAAGAGAUGAACUAGGGUUUGAGAGGAGAUGGUGCUGGUGAAGAUGUUGAUGGAGGUUGACCCCCUCCCGAUGAUAGGAUUGAUGGUGAUGACGAUGGUGAUGAUUUCUCCCUCCCGGAGGGAUGUUUCCCUGGCAGAACAGCUCCGCCGGAGCCCUAGAUUGGUUCCGCCAAGGUUCCGCCUCGUGGUGGCGGAGUUUCAUCCCGAAAGCUUGCUUAUGAUUUUUAUCAGGGUAAAAGACUUCAUAUAGCAGAAGAUGGGCACCGGAGGGCUGGCAGGGGGCCUGAGGGAGUCCCAGAUUAAGGGGUCCUCGGACAGCCGGAUUGUAUACUUUGGUCGGAUUGUUGGACUAUGAAGAUACAAGAUUGAAGACUUUGUCCCGUGUCCGUAUGGUACUCUCCUUUGUGUGGAAGGCAAGCUUGGCGAUUCGGAUAUGUAGAUAUUCUUCUCUAUAACUGACUUUGUGUAACCCUAGCCCCCUCCGGUGUCUAUAUAAACCGGAGGGUUUAGUCCGUAGGACAACAACAAUCAUAAUCAUAGUCUAGCUUCUAGGGUUUAGCCUCUAUGAUCUCGUGGUAGAUCAACUCUUGUAAUACUCAUACCAUCAAGAUCAAUCAAGCAAGAAGUAGGGUAUUACCUCCAUCGAGAGGGCCCGAACCUGGGUAAACAUCGUGUCCCCAGCCUCUUGUUACCAUAAGCCUUAGACGCACAGUUUGGGACCCCCUACCCGAGAUCCACCGGUUUUGACACCGAGGUUGGUGCUUUCAUUGAGAGUUCCACUAUGUCGCCAUGGUAAGGCUUGAUGGCUCGCCUUGUUGUUAAGGACAACAUCACCUUUGGAGGAACCCUGGCUGUAGGCCAGACUCUUCGGCUGGGCGGCUUCGUCAUGGCCGCCCGUUCGGCCUCCACGCCGACGAUGACUUCUCAGGUCAUCGAGAACAGACUCCACAUCAGCUCGGAAUUCACCGAGCAGAUGGAUCCAAUAGAGCUUUCCUCCCUGAACGAGCUCUUGGAUCGCAUCGCCGCCCUGGGAGUCGCUACAGACUAUGAUCGGAUCAGCAGUGGUGGAGGAGCAGUGCAGUGAUUCUUCCUCUAUUUUGAGGACGAACUAUGUCCGGAUUCCCAAGCUCUCCGAGCCGGAUACCCGUCUACGGGAGGACAUGGCCCAGGCUCUGAACUUAGAAUCGGGCAGCAGACCAGAAGAAUUGGGCAACAUCCUGGAGUCCGAGCUGCCAAGCUCGGGAACUCCUCUGCCCCUAGGUCUCAGAUCGGGUCAGGGUUUGGACUUAAAUCUACCCACCCACCCAGAUACAAGUGAUCUUUCCCACAUUAGACAAGAGCCCCAAGAGAUAGUACAUCACUUCUGGGCCAGAUUCCUCCUUGUAAUGAGCAAGGUCAAGGACUGUCGCGAGGAAGACGUAAUUUCACUCUUUUGCAAAAAUUGCACGGACAAGGGAAUUCUCAACGCCAUAAGUCACCAUGACAUAGCACACUUUACCGACUUGGCGGCCAUAGUACAGAAGUACUAUGCGAUGGAAAGCGCCUAGAAAACCCAAACUAAAUUCUGGGAUCCUCCGGCUCUCACUAAACCCCUCAUCCAAACUACAAGGGUGCGCUCUCGCAAGUCACCCAAUCCAAUUACAAAGAAGCCAAAGCCCUUCAUAGGGCGUGGAACCGUACUGGAGGGAUGGCUCAACGGGCCAUGCAAAAUUCACAGCACACCGGAUAUCGUACCAACACACAGCCUUAGAGCAUGUUGGGUACUCCGGCAGGUGGCCAAGAGCGGCGAGGAUCUCCUCAUUAACAAUGCCACAGAGCACCAUCCCACGGAGAAUAACAAUACAGUACUGACAGUCUUCGAGACUUUUGCCUCAAACAAUAGGCGUAAGCGAGCACUCCGCAGCCUCGCCGAAGUCUGCCACGUUGCAGCAAUAAAUCCAUGGAACGACACGGCUAUUACCUUCAAUGCCGGUGAUGAAUCUCAAUUCCGAAUAGUCGGAGCACCAGCUGCUUUGGUCCUUAGUCCAAUUGUGGACGGCUACCGGCUUACUAAAGUACUCAUGGACGGUGGCAGCGGAUUAAAGCUCAUUUAUGAGGAAACCCUCAACAAAAUGGAGAUUGACAAGAUCCGCAUCGAGCAAAGUAGCACGACCUUCAGAGGAAUCAUACCCAGUCGGGAGGCACGAUGUGCGGGAAAAAUCACACUGUAUGCGGUAUUCGGCACGCUGGAGAACUAUAGGUCCGAAGAAAUUACAUUCCAAGUGGCCCCGUUCAGUAGUGGAUACCACGCCCUUUUGGGGUGAGACGCAUUCACAAGCUUCCAAGCUAUACCCCAUUACGGGUACAUGAAUCUCAAGAUGCCUGGGCCCAAUGGAAUCAUCACUCUAGCUAGUGAUCCGGACAUAGCACUCCACGCCGAAAACAAAACCGCCGCACUAGCCCUGGAGGCAUUAUUCGAAGCUCUCGCGGCUGAAGAAUUAACUGCGCUGCGCUCCACAGUGGACAAGGAUGAUGUGAUACUUGACAAAUGACCCAAGUCCACCUCUUUUAAACCAGCACACGAAAUAAUCAAAUUCCAUAUCCACCCAACGGACCCCACAAAAACAACAUCAAUUGGGACACAGUUGAACCCCACAAUAGAUGCCGCACUACGAGAGUUCUUGUGCGAGAAUUGGGACAUCUUCACGUGGCAUCCUUCAAACAUGCCAGGUAUCCCACGCAGGCUGGCCGAGCAUAGCCUAAACAUACUAAAGGGAUACAAGCCGGUCAAGCAGACUCUUCGGCGCUUUUCAGAACCCAAGCGACAAGCCAUGGGAGAAGAGCUAGCCAAGCUACUCCAGGCCGGAUUCAUCAAAGAAAUAAAACAUCCAGACUGGCUGGCAAACCUGGUGAUGGUACCAAAGAAGGACAAAUCCUGGCGCCUAUGCGUCGAUUUCAAGGACCUCAAUAAGGCUUGCCCUAAGGAUCCCUUCCCCCUCCCCCGCAUCGAUCAAAUCAUCGACGCUACCGCAGGACACGACUCAUUGUGUUUCCUUGACGCAUAUUUAGGAUACCAUCAAAUAAAGAUGGCGGAAUCCGAUCAAGCCGCAACGACAUUCAUCACUCCAUACGACCCCUUCUAUUUUAACACCAUGCCUUUCAGGCUCGAAAACGCCGGCGCAACCUAUCAACGCAUGAUUCAGACAUGCCUGGAAACACAAAUCGGCAAAAUAGUGGAGGCAUAUGUAGACGACGUGGUCAUCAAAACCAUACACGUCGAAUCCUUAAUAGACGACUUGAGGCUUACGUUUGAAAAUCUCCGAACAUAUGACAUCAAGCUCAAUCCGGAAAAGUGCGUCUUCGGUGUACCCGCCGGAAAGCUCUUGGGCUUCAUCGUCUCCAAUACAGGAAUUGAAGCAAAUUUGGCUAAAAUCUGAGCUCUGUCACAGUUGGCUACCCCAACAGACCUCAAGCAAAUCCAGAAAUUAACGGGAUGCGUGGCUUCCCUAAACCGCUUUAUCUCCCGACUAGGAGAAAAGGCACUACCUCUCUAUCGCCUUCUUCGACGCACCGACCACUUCAAGUGGAUGGAUGCGGUUACGGCCGAACUGUAGGAAAUAAAAUCCCUCCUGGCCACCACCAAUCCAAUCCUAGCCGCCAAACAUCGGCGAACCAAUGCUGCUAUAUAUAGCUGCAACACACCAGGUUGUAAGCGCAAUGCUCGUCGUCGAAGGAGAGACGGACAGACACAAGUUCCCUCUUCAAAAGCCGAUAUACUAUGUAUCUAUUGUCCUCACUCCAUGCAAGUCAUGGUACCCACAUUAUCAAAAGAUAGCAUAUGCGGUCUUCAUGGCAUCCCGAAAAUUAUGACACUACUUUCAAGAGUGUUCAAUCAUGGUGGCCUCCGAAGUACCACUCAACAACAUAAUAAAUAACCGCGAUGCCAUGGGCCGAAUUGCUAAAUGGGCUAUCGAGUUCCUCUCGUUCGACAUAACAUACAAACCAUGGCAAGCCAUUAAGUCGCAAGUACUGGCUGACUUCGUCGCCGAAUGGACAGAAGCCGAACUCCCUAAAGAGUACGACGCGUACUCCAAUUGGAUUAUGCACUUCGAUGGCUGUAAGAUGCUGGCCGGUCUAGGGGCAGGCGUUGUCCUAACAUCCCCCACCGGAGAUACAGUCCAAUACGUACUCACAAAUACUAUACACAGAUUCCAACAAUGCAACCGAAUAUGAGUCUCUAUUGCAUGGUCUUCGGAUGGCAGUCUCCAUGGGCAUUCAACGCCUAGAUGUGCGUGGGGAUUUGAACCUCGUAAUAUCUCAAAUAAAUGGAGACUUCGACGCCAAGGACCCAAAAAUGGCGGCCUACCGCAAUGCCGUCCUUAAAAUGUCAGCUCGGUUCGAGGGGCUCGAAUUCCACCAUAUGGUCCGAGAAAACAAUCAAGCGGCGGAUAUCCUGGCCCGCAUCGGUGCUAAACGCGACCCCGUCCCACCUAACAUCUUCCUAGAAAGGUUGUUCAAGCCAUCCGUGGUAUGGGAUGGGGAGCCCGGCAAUAUCAGUCCGGAUCCGAACACAACCCCAGACCCCGAACACUCUGACACAAUCGGAGGCUCCGCCACCGAAAUAACACCGUUGGCCCACGUGAUUAUGGCUAUCAUCGCCCGUGGACAGAACCCUUCUUAGCCUACCUAAAUAGGCAAGAACUCCCCGAGGACCAAAAUGAGGCACGUUGUAUUGUGCGGCGCUCUAAAGCCUACAAGGUCCACGAGGGAGAGCUUUAUAAGAAAAGCACGAUUGGAGUGCUCCAAAGGUGCAUCUCCGAAGAGGAAGGACGACAGCUUUUGGCAGAAAUUCAUGCUGGACUCGAUGGCCACCAUGCCACAGCUCGGGCCCUUGUAAGCAAGGCCUUCCGUACAGGUUUCUACUGGUCGACAGCCCAAGCGGACGCACAGGACCUCAUCCAACAUUGCGUCGGUUGCCAGCUUUUUGCAAAUCAAAGCCAUAUGCCACCUACCGCUCUUCAAACAAUACUCAUAACUUGGCCCUUUGCGGUCUGGGGGCUCAAUAUGGUUGGAACCCUUAAAGGAGGAGCUUUAAGAAAAAAUACGUGUUGGUCAUGGUAGAUAAAUUCACCAAAUGGAUAGAGGCCAAGCCAGUUAAAACAGCCGAAUCCGGACCAGUGAUAGACUUUAUAUCCGGAGUCGUACACCGUUACGGUGUCCCCCACAGCAUCAUCACUGAUAAUGGCUCCAACUUUACAGCCGACGAGGUGAAAACUUGGUGCAACAAGAUGGGCAUUAAGCUAGAUUAUGCCUCUGUCUAUCACCCCCAAACAAAUAGUCAAGUCGAACGAGCAAAUGGUCUUAUUAUGAGCGGCAUCAAACCCAGACUACUGCGAUCCUUGAAAGAAUCAGACUCGCACUGGGUCGAGGAGCUCGACUCCAUACUAUGGGGGCUGCAGACCACGCCCAAUCGCACCACUGGAUACACACCAUCUUUAUGGUGUACGGCGCAGAGGCAGUACUACCCUGCGAUAUCAUUCAUGACUCACCUCGAGUGCGCAUGUACGAAGAGAGAGAAGCCGAGCUAGAUCGGCAGGACAGUUUAGAUGCCCUGGAGGAGGAGCGGGACGUCGCGAAGGCCCAUUCCGCAUUUUAUCAGCAGCAGGCUCGAAGGUAUCAAAGUAGAGAAGUACAGGCCAAAACCUAUAAUGUUCGCGAACUCGUUCUACGCCUACCGGAGAAGAAAAAAGACAAGCUCAAGCCCAAGUGGGAGGGUCCCUUCAUCAUUGAUAAAGUUCUCACCGGAGGAGCGUACCAUCUGUGUGAUGCAUCAGAUAAUCGACUCGAGCCGAACCCAUGGAACGCGACCAGACUCCGAAGAUUCUACGCCUAGUGCCGAACUCUGUGUUUGUCUCCUCACCUUCGUUUUCCUUUAUAUAUAUAUAUAUAUAUAUACACACACACACGGUCUAUUAUGCUAAUAUUAGCAGAAUAACUAUUCUGCACACCACUUCCGCACUGCACGCUGAACGCACGUGCACUGCAUCUUCUGGACGACGAGCACUGCAAUAGAGACUAGUGAACUUCUCGUCGGAAAAAACUUCAUGCGUUAUUUUUUCGGUACUGUUUUUGCUCUAAUUUUUUAACCGUUUAUUGGAAUGAGGCGUGUAAUAUACCAUUGAAAAGCUAUGGAUUAGGCACAACUUCGACAUGUUGAACACUUUUCAAGAUUCCACACGGUUUAAGAACAGUUUUGAAAAUGGUGCGGCGGAUGACGAGUGACAACGAGCGUUUUUCCGCGUUGUUUUCUAAACCGCUUGUCGUAAUUGAAGCAAAUGAUACGCCGUUGGAUAUAUAUCGUCGAGGCGCAUCUUUUUCAUAUAUAAAUCUUUCUCUAAUUCAUUACGGUUUAAGAGCAGUUUCAAAUUUACUAAAUCGCGGAACUCUGUUUUUCAAUUUUUUUGAAAUUUUCGGUACUGUUUUUGCUCCAGUUUUCUAACCGUUUGUCGGAACUAGACAUAUGAUAUGCCAUUGGAAAGCUACGGACAAGGCGCAACUUUGAUAUGUUGAAAUGGUUUUGAGAUUCCUUACAGUUUUUAGUUAUUUUUGAAAAUCGUGCGGCUGACUUCGAGAGGCAGCGGCUGUUUUUUCGUGAAUUUUUUACAAACGGCUGGUUAGAAUGAUUCAAAUCAUACGCUGUUGGAAAGAUAUCGACAAGACGCAACUUUUUCAUGUAGAACACUCUCUCUAGUUCCUUACGGUUUAAGAGCAGUUUUGAUUUUACCGAAAAGCGGACACUCUGUUCUUCGCGAGACCAAAAUCGUCGUAUGUACUGCAUCGGACAGAAGAACGCAUUGCUUCAGACAAAAUACCGCACUGCAUCAUAUGGGCAAGUGCACUGCAUGGUUUCUUUUUGUUUAAACGUAUUUUUUCUCGGACGAGGAAAGAAGAACGCACUGCUUCAGACGAAAUACCGCACUUCAUUAGAUGGGUAAGUGCACUACAUGAUUUCUUUUUGUUUAGACGUAUUUUUUAUCGGACGGGGAAAGAAGCACGCACUGCUUCAGACGAGUAUUUUUUUCUCGGACGGGGAAAGAAGAAUGCACUGCUUCAGACGAAAUACCGCACUUCAUUAGAUGGGCAAGUGCAAUGCAUGGUUUCUUUUUGUUUAGACAUAUUUUUUCUCGGACGGGGAAAGAAGAACACACUGCUUCAGACGAAAUACCGCACUUCAUUAGAUGGGCAAGUGCACUGCAUGGUUUUUUUAUGGGACGUAAUUUUUCCCAAACAAGGUGGAGUGCACUUCAUGUCGAGCGGUGGUGAACCGCAAUACUAUGAAAAGUGAACCUCGAGACUACUGUAAACGGGCUGUGACACUACCGAAAGUGAACCUCGUGAGUUUUUUCCAAACGCAAUAAUUUCUUUCGCGCGUAGACCGGGCGAGUGGACCGCAGGGAUUGAGCAAGUGAACCACAUUUAAUGAGAAGUGAGCUGCUUUGCAAGGUGUGUUUGUUUUUGGAUUACCAAGUGAACCACAAAGGAGUUUUAGUUUUUAUAGUGAACUGCAUGAAAGAACAAAGUGAGCUUAAAAGCAUACAUAUUCAUUCAUUAUUUUUUACACGGCCAUAGAAUCAACGAUGCAGUGCCCAACAGAACUGCACUAGGGAAAGACUUGCUUAUACAAAAUGACCAUCCAUUCUUACUACCUUUGUGUUUCCCGUAAACAACAAAUCAAAUUCAAAAUGAACAUCGAUGUUCUCUUCUCCUUCUUACUAAGUGCACUGCAAAUGAUUUCCUGAAAGAAUAAAAGAGUGAGAUGAAAAACAAAAAGUAAGCUGCUGCAAAACAAAACUAAACUAAACCGCAGGGACGUGACGAGUGGCCUGCAUCAAUUUUUCUUCCACACAACGACAAAGUGAGCUGCAUAGAAUAUUCAACCUUUUCCAAUUACAAUCUUCCAUUUUUUUUACAUUUGGCAACAAAGGGAACUACUGUGAGAGAGAAGAUCACUGCAGUGAUAAAAUGAUGCAUGUUGCAGAAAGGUCAUACAUAUCUUACCACAACCGUCGAUGGAUGAACUACAUGCCACACUACCGAUGGCGAAGGGGAGCUGCUGGUGCAAGAACCUCGCACGCAUAGAUGAUAAACUGGUGCAAGCAGCACGUACAACACCCACGUUGUGGUCGCUGGAGUUCAGAACCAUUGGAGAAUUGGGGACCCAAGCUAACCUCCCUACCAAAAAUAUGAAGAACAAAAAAAAUGUGUGGCUGAUGCAUCCACAAGUGAACAACACGGAGGCUGUUUCCGAGCUGCACAUGCGCCAUCUAUGAACCCCAGGACGUGCACAAUUAGCCGGCGAACUGCAAGCAAACGCUGGGGGAGCUGCACAUCAUGCUUGCCCGAGCUGCAUGCCAGCCAUGUUAAUGGACCUCGCCGCGUUCUGUAGGCUAGCGGAGCAGCUAGAUCUUGGCGGCGGUGAGGAAAUAGGGAGCGAGGGGGAGGACCGUGCAGUUGGGUAGGCCACAGCGAGGCGACGGGGGCGGAUCUGCACCGGCAUGCGCGCGGGGUGGAUGGGGGCGGCGCGCCCGGAUCCACGCCAGCAGCCGCACGGGGCACCUUGGGGCGGCGCGCCCGGAUCUCCGCCGGCGGUCGGGGGGUGGUUGUUGGAUGGUGGUGCGUCGCGGGGCGGUGCCGGGAGUUGAGCGGCGUUGUGGGGGCAGGUGGUGGUGUCCUAUCGGGGCUGUGGUAGGGGGUGGUGGAGGCACUCCAGAUCGAGGCCGCGUCCGCGUUGGCUGCAUGGCCAGCCAUGGAUCCGGAGAUAGCGGCUUGGCGAAGCCUGUGGAUGGCUGGAUCCACGAGCCCGUGGCUGACCAGAUCUGGUGAUGGCUCAUCGUGGGGAGGCGGGGCGGCGCCGACCGGAAGGAGGAGGAGGAGGGGCGGCCCCUACCGGGAGGAGGAGGAGGCGGGGGGCUGUGGGUUGGGGAAGGGAGGCGCGCCGGCCGGGAGUGAGAGAAGGCGGUGGGGUGGGGCGCCGCGGUGGUCGGGCCAUCCCCGUGGUCGCCGGCCGCCAGGCAGGUGGUGGGCGACGGCGGUGUGGGAGGCAGGUGGUGGUGUGGUGGGGUACCGUGGAGGGAGGUUGGUGGAGUAGUGGGGUUUGAGGGAGAGUGGUGGGCGGCCGUGGGAGGAGGGGUGGGUUUUUCUGUUGGUGGUGUGCAGAAUAAGGUUUGGGUGUGCAGAAUAAGGUCUUAAGGGGUGUUAUCAUAAUAGACCCACCCUAUAUAUAUAUAUAUAUAUAUCUUCUCUCCCUCUCCUUUUCAUAUAUGUAGCCUUAAAAGCUUCAAGUAUGCUUUGACCGCACAUUCCUGCCGUGCUAUGUGCGCUCAAUAUACCUGGGGGCUUCUUAUACAGAAGCUUCACAUAAUUAUCUUCCGGGCUUUAUGCCCACCACAUAUGCGUCAUUUCUCCAUAUGUGCCUUUUUUUCACCAUUAUAUGCAUCGAUAUGACUUAAGUUUUGGCCAAGCUGGGUUGCCUGGCUCUUGUGUUUGUGCCCUAUGUUCCCGUUAAUUCGGCUAGGGCAUAAGGGGAGCACCUCUGCGAUUGUUACUGCCGGGUCAGCCGGAUGUGUACCUCAGACUGGGUGAAGCCGAAAGCUAGCGUUCUUAAUGGAAUAUUCGGUCGGUGAACAAAAGAUGUCUUUUACUUAUUACAAAACAUGCCCCCAGAUGUUUAUAUCCUGCGUCAUUUUUCGCAGUUCAGACAUGCACAUUAAUGCAUGCACACCCAGGGAAAGGAACCCUUAACGGAACUAUUCUCCCUGGAAGAUGUUUCUUACUACCCAUGUAAUAUAACAUAGCUAGUUGGGUACUUGUCUAUUCAAGCACUUAUGACCCCUAUGCCUGGUUUCCACGUGUGCCCUGAUUUUUACAUAACUGAGCGGGUAUUUGGAUACACUCUAGACUGUCGGGUCCAGAGGUUGAAGCGAAAAGGUCGACCAAGACAAUGAUUUACAAUUCGGCUAGGGACUAAAUAUGUCCUUUGAAGUACAAAGUCACUUAGGCUGACUGAUUUCUUCUUCUAUACCACCCAACAGGCUGUCUAGCCUACAAUCCUAUUGGGAAUACUUUGCAGCUAAUGCUACCUGGUCAUAUACCAGACUAAUGGGGAUCUCUUUCCCAUCUGGUCCUAUAGGUCCGACCUCGGCCAUGUGGUUCGGGUCAGCCUUGGUGUAUCGCGUCUUCACCAUGGCCCAGGCUUCCCUUGCACCUUGUUGGCAGGCUAAUAUCUUCCAUAAUCGGAAGCAUUGCCGUGCUCCCUUGAGCAUCUCUACAAGCUCUCCCAUGCCUCCAGGCAGGGAUGCAGACGGCCACAAGGCCUGGGCAAUACGUUGCAUCACCUGCCAAAUUUGCUCAUGCAGCUAUGAGAGUUCUUGGAGAAGAUCGCCUGCAGAUCCGGGCAUCUCCUCUUUGGGACGACCUGUCAGCAUACCUACAGAUAUAAUUCUGUUAGCAUGUUUCUUCACCGAACUGUUUAAAGGUUCGUCCAAGCACUUAUUAAAAAUGCCGCGUCGAAGCCGCUUAUUCUCCUUCACGGAGUCAACAAGCUGGCCCCGGACAUCCUUUAAUUCAACGUCCAGCCGCGUCUUCACAUCCUAAAGAUCAUUCUUCUCCCAAAUAACUUUUGUAAGCACGCGCUCGCCAGCCUUUAGCUCUCGUUGAGCAUGAGGGUCAUCCUCCGAUACGAUCUCCGGAUUCCCUCCGAGAUUGUCUACAGAAUCUAUUGUUAGAUUUGCAUGCAUGCCGAAUACUAAAUGGUAUAUGUCAAUACAUUCUUUUUGAUCAAGACAAGUAUUACCAGACGAGGCCUUCUUGGACUCCUCCAUUUCGGCGACUGCGGCCCGUAGCUGAUCUUUGCACUCUUCAAGCUCUUUAGACAGCUGGGUAUUCUUCUCUGUAAGAACCUAUGCAUAUAAUUGAUCCUUAAAUCAGUUGUGCCAACUGUUUCAAGUUUAAGGGGCUACUAAUAUACAUACUUAUCAAAUCUUCUUACCUGUAUAUCCCUUACAUACUGGUCCAUAGCUCUGGCUAGGCCAUCCUGAGCAGCUCGGAUGUACGCAUCCCCUGAGUUGAAGGCAUUGAACGCCUCUUCAGAGAAAUUAGGGUCGCGUAGUGUGGCCCUUCGGUGCCUGUCAUACAUGGCGCUCUCCACUUCGGAGUUUCUAGCAGAUAAUCUAUCCACAUCCUCUGUAGGAGGACCAUCCGGCGUUGUCCCCGCGUUAAUCUCCGCCCUUGAGUCUGGCCUUGGAGUCCGGCUGGUGGAGGCGAGACCCGCAGGCUCUCCGGAUAUACUCUGGCGAGCGCUUUUUCUGCUGGGGGGGCGUGAACAUUGUUAUAUUUUAAGGACGAUAACUGCGUAGCAGGUUUUUAAUCAUACCUCUACGAUGGUGUCUCGGUCCUGACUGCCUUCCUUUUAAGCCGAACCAGCCUCGGUGCUCCUUGUUGAUGAGUCGCCGCGGGUUCGACGCGGCAUUCCGAUGACCUUCCCUAUAAAACGCAAUACAGGUGCGAUGGGUAAGGUGCAGAGAGGGUAUUCUUCUUGUAAAUUGGGACUCCGGUUUUACUUAUGUGUGAUGCAGGGAGUAGGCCAGGAUAAUCUACUAUGAUGGCCACCAGGGCACCAUCAGAACUUAUCUGGUAAAAUGUCCUGUCGACGAGCUCUACAAAUAUGUCCGGAUCUUCUUCAAGUCCGGGGUCGAGGGCUCUGUCAGGGUCCUCUGGCUGUGGAGACGGGUUGUGGACCUCCCUCAUAGCUUUUCGCAGUUCCUGCUAUGAAUGGGCAAGGUAAAUAUUUGUGAUGAUGAAUGUGGGAAAAGAAUGGAAUAAAAGGUAGCAACUCACCCAGCUCGGGGGGUUGUACAUGGAGAAUCCAUCCCAAGGCAUAAUGCAGAUGAACUCCUCUUCCUAUCCUUUGAACAAGUCGGACAAUAUUUUUGCCAGAGCGGCGGCGGAGUCCGGACCUUUACGGCCGCAGCGGGUGGCGUCGUCUUCUCCAUUGAAGUGACACAUGGGUUUGCCCCGAUACUAAAGUGGUUGUACCCCCUGCAUUAUGCAUAUUGACAUAACUUCAGUAGUUGUCAGUCCUGAUCUGGCCAGCGUUUUUAUCUUGUCCAUCAGGAAAAGGACCUCUCUAUUAUCUUCCUCCUAGGGGCUCUGGGGGCGCCAUCUAUGGCGUUUCUUCAAUGGGGCAUUGGUAAACUCAGGAAGGCCCAUCCAAAUAGGGUCCGGAAGGGGGACGUCCUCCAUAUAAAACCACUCCGAAGGCCAGUCUUCGGAUGUCUUCUUCAGAGUACCAGACAAGUAUCCGGUCUCGGUGAUGCGCCAUAUUUCGGCUCCGCCCACUUGAUAUAUUGACCCCUCAUGAGUAUGGGGUACGAGGCAGAAUAACCUCUUCCAUAGCUUGAAAUGAGCUUCACAGCCCAGAAACAACUCGCAGAAGGUGACGUAGCCGGUGAUAUGUAAAAUAGAGGCAUGGGUGAAGUUAUGCAGCUGGAGGCCAUAGAACUCUAGGAGCCCGCGGAGGAACGGAUGGAUUGGAAAUCCGAGUCCCCUCAGCAAAAAGGGGACAAGUGCUACGUCUUGAGCUUGCGUUGGUUUUCCUUGAAGAGGAAAGGGUGAUGCAGCAAUAGUAGCGUAAAUAUUUCCCUCAGUUUUUGAGAACCAAGGUAUCAAUCCAGUAGGAGGCUCCUAAAAAGUCCCAUGCACCUACACAAACAAACAAAGAACUCGCAACCAACGCAAUAAAGGGGUUGUCAAUCCCUUCACGGCCACUUGCGAAAGUGAGAUCUGAUAGAGAUAGUAUGAUAAGAUAAAUAUAUUUUUGGUAUUUUAUAAUAUAGAUGCAAAAAAUAAAGAUGCAAAUAAAAGUAGAUUGGAAGCAAAUAUGAUAAGAGAUAGACCCGGGGGCCAUAGGUCUCACUAGAGGCUUCUCUCGAGAUAGCAUAAGUAUUACGGUGGGUGAACAAAUUACUGUCGAGCAAUUGAUAGAAAAGCGAAUAACUAUGACAUUAUCUAGGCAUGAUCAUGUAUAUAGGCAUCACGUCCGCAACAAGUAGACCGACUCCUGCCUGCAUCUACUACUAUUACUCCACACAUCGACCGACUCCUGGCUGCAUCUAGAGUAUUAAGUUCACAAAGAACAGAGUAACGCAUUAAGCAAGAUGACAUGAUGUAUAGGGAUAAACUCAAGCAUUAUGAUAUAAACCCCAUAUUUUUAUCCUCGAUGGCGACAAUACAAUACGUGCCUUGCAACCCUUUCUGUCACUGGUAAGGACACCGCAAGAUUGAACCCAAAGCUGAGCACUUCUCCCAUGGCAACAAAGAUCAAUCUAGUAGGCCAAACCAACCUGAUAAUUCGAAGAGACUUGCAAAGAUAACUCAAUCAUACAUAAAAGAAUUCAGAGAAGAUUCAACUAUUAUUCAUAGAUAAACUUCAUCAUAAACCCACAAUUCAUCGGAUCUCGACAAACACACCGCAAAAAGAGAUUACAUCGAAUAUAUCUCCACAAGAGAGGGGGAUAACAUUGUAUUGAGAUCCAAAAAGAGAGAAGAAUCCAUCUAGCUAAUAACUAUGGACCCGAAGGUCUGUGGUAAACUACUCACAACUCAUCGGAAGGGCUAUGGUGUUGAUGUAGAAGCCCUCCAUGGUCGAUUCCCCCUCCGACAGAGCGCCGACGAAGGCUCCAGGAUGAGAUCUCGCGGAUAUAGAAGGUUACGACGGUGGAAAUUGUGUUUCGGGUGCUUCCUGGAUGUUUUCGGGGUACGUAAGCUUAUAUAGGAGGAAGAAGUACGUCGGUGGCCGCCCGAGGGGCCCACGAGACAAGGGGCGCGCCCUAUAGGGGGGGCACCCUCAUAUCUCGUGGCCGCCUCGGCUGCUUCUUGACUUGCACUCCAAGUCCUCUGGAUCAGGUUCGUUCCAAAAAUCACCCCUCCGAAGGUUUCAUUCCAUUUGGACUCCGUUUGAUAUUCCUUUUCUUCGAAAUACUGAAAUAGGCAAAAAAAACAGCAAUACGGGCUGGUCCUCCGGUUAGUAGGUUAGUCCCAAAAAUGAUAUAAAUGUGUAAAAUAAAGUCCAUAAACAUUCAAAAGGGGUAAUAUAAUAGCAUGGAACAAUCAAAAAUUAUAGAUACGUUGGAGACGUAUCAAGCAUCCCCAAGCUUAAUUCUUGCUCAUCCUCGAGUAGGUAAAUGAUAAAAAAGAAAUUUUUGAUGUGGAAUGCUACCUAGCAUAAUUCUCAAUGUAAUUUUCUUUAUUGUGGCAUGAAUGUUCAGAUCCAAAUGAUUCAAAAUAAAAGUUCAUAUUGAUGAAACAAAUAGUAACACUUCAAGCAUACUAAUCAAGGUAAUCAUGUCUUCUCAAAAUAACAUGGCAAAAGAAAGUUCAUCCCUACAAAAUCAUAUAGUUAGGCUAUGCUUCAUUUUCGUCACACAAAGAUGUUCCCAACUUCUAUACCCCGAUGACAAGCCAAACAAUUGUUUCAUACUUAAAUAAUCUCAAACUUUUUCAACCUUCACACAAUACAUGAGCGUGAGCAUGGAUAUAGCACUAUGGGUGGAAUAGAAUAUGAUGAUGGGGAUUGUGUGGAGAAGACAAAAAAGGAGAAAUUCUCACAUUGACGAGGAUAAUCAACGGGCUAUGGAGAUACCCAUCAAUUGAUGUCAAUAUGAGGAGUAGGGAUUUCCAUGCAAUGGAUGCACUAGAGCUAUAAAUGAAUGCUCAACAAAAGAAAACUAGUGGGUGUGCAUCCAACUUGCUUGCUCACGAGGACCUAGGGCAUUUGAGGAAGCCCAUCGUAGGAAUAUACAAGCCAAGUGCUAUAAUGAAAAAUUCCCACUAGUAUGAAAAAGGUAACCUAUGAGACUCACUAUAUGAAAAACAUGGUGCUACUUUGAAGCACAAUAUAUGAGACUCACUACAUGAAGAACAAGGUGCUACUUCGAAGCACAAGUGUGGAAAAAGAGAUAGUAACAUUGCCCUUUUUAUUUUUUUAUUUUUUUUAUUUUUCUUUUUUUCUUUUUCUUUUUUUGUGGGCCUUUCUUUUUUUUGUUUUGGCCUUUCUUCUUCUUUUCUUUUUUUCUUUUUGGGCAAUGCUCUAAUAAUGAUGAUCAUCACACUUUCAUUGAUUACAACAUAUGAAUUACAACUCGAAACUAGAACAAGAUAUGACUCUAUAUGAAUGCCUCCGGCGGUGUACCGGGAUGGUGUAAUGAAUCAAGAGUGACAUGUAUGAAAAAUAAUGCAUGGUGGCUUUGCCACAAAUACGAUGUCAACUACAUGAUCAUGCAGUGGCAAUAUGACAAAAGUAAAGUAUGUCAUGAUGAUGAUGAACGGAACGGUGGAAAGUUGCAUGGCAAUAUAUCUCGGAAUGGCUAUGGAAAUGCCAUAAUAGGUAGGUAUGGUGGCUGUUUUGAGGAAGAUAUAAGGAGGUUUAUGUGUGAUAGAGCGUAUCGUAUCACGGGGUUUGGAUGCACCGGCGAAGUUUGCACCAACUCUCAAGGUGAGAAAGGGCAACGCACGGUACCGAAGAUGCUAGCAAUGGUGGAAAGGUAAAAGUGCGUAUAAUCCAUGGACUCAACAUUAGUCAAAAGAACUCAUAUACUUAUUGCAAAAGUUUAUAAGUCAUCAAAAAUCAAGCACUACGCGCAUGCUCCUAGGGGGAUAGAUUGGUAGGAAAAGACCAUCGCUCGUCCCCGACCGCCACUCAUAAGGAUGCACAAGCCAGGUACACUUCAUGUUUCAAAUUUGUUACACAACUUUAACCAUACGUGCAUGCUACGAGACUUGCUAACUUCAACACAAGCAUUCUUUAAAUUCAUAAUCACCCAACUAGCAUGACUUUAAUAUCACUACCUCCAUAUCUCAAAACAAUUAUCAAGUAUCAAAUUGAUCAUAGCAUCCAAUUCACUUCCUAUGAUAGUUUUUAUUAUACCCAACUUGGAUGCCUACCAUUCUAGGACCAAUUUUGUAACCAUAGCAAAUACCAUGCUGUUCUAAAAGACUCUCAAAAUAAUAUAAGUGAAGCACGAGAGACUAGCAAUUUCUACAAAAUCAAGCCACCUGCCAUGCUCUAAAAGAUAUAAGUGAAGCACUAGAGCAAAAACUAUCUAGCUCAAAAGAUAUAAGUGAAGCACAUAGAGUAUUCUAAUAAAUUCAAUCAAGUGGGCUUCUCCCAAAAGGUGUGUACAGCAAGUAUGAUUGUGGUAAACUAAAAAUCAAAUACUAAUAUCAUACACGACGCUCCAAGCAAAACACAUAUCAUGUGGCGAAUAAAAAUAUAGCUCCAAGUAAAGUUACCAAUGAACGAAGACAAAAGAGGGGAUGCCUUCCGGGGGCAUCCCCAAGCUUAGGCUUUUGGCUAUUCUUGAAUAUCUUGGGGUGCCAUGGGCAUCCCCAAGCUUAGGCUUUUGCCACUCCUUAUUCCAUAGUCCAUCAAAUCUUUACCCAAAACUUGAAAACUUCACAACACAAAACUCAACAGGAAAUCUCAUAAGCUCCGUUAGUGAAAGAAAACAAAACCACCACAUCAGGUACUGUAAUGAACUCAUUCUUUAUUUAUUUUGGUGUUAAACCUACUGUAUUCCAAGUUCUCAAUGGUUCAUACCACUUAAUACUAGCCAUAGAUGCAUGAAAAUAAGCAAACAACACACGAAAAACAGAAUCUGUCAAAAACAGAACAGUCUGUAGAAAUCUGUAACUAACGCAAACUUCUGGAAAUUUAAAAAUCCUAAAAAAAAUAGGAAGUCCUGGUAAAUUUGUCUAUUGAUCAGAAGCAAAAAGAAUCAACACAAAAUCACGUUUCUGAGAUUUAACAAAACUAAUUUCAUGCGCGCAAAGUUUCUGUUUUUCAGCAGAAUCAAAUUAACUAUCAACAUAGGUUAUCCUAUAGGUUCUACUUGGCACAAACACUAAUUAAAACAUAAAAACACAUCUAAACAGAAGGUAUAUGCAAAAUUUAUUACUAAAUAGAAACAAAAACAAAAAACACAAAAUAAAAUUGGGUUGCCUCCCAACUAGCGCUAUCGUUUAGCGCCCAUAGCUAGGCAUAAAAGCGAAGAUAGAUCUAAGUAGUGACAUCUUUGGCACUCAAUUCAUAAGUAGAUCACAUGAUAGAUUCAUAAGGUAAUUUGACUUUCUUUCUUGGAAAGUGCUCCAUGCCAUUCCUUAAUGGAAAUUGGAAUCUAAUAUUCCCUUCCUUCAUAUCAAUAAUCGCGCCAAUCGUUCUAAGAAAGGUCUACCAAGAAUAAUAGGGCAAGAAAGAUUGCAAUCUAUAUCAAGAACGAUAAAAUCUACGGGCACCAAAUUUCUAUUUGCAACAAUGAGAACAUCAUUGAUCCUUCGCAUUGGCUUUUUAAUGGUGGAAUCCGCAAGGUGCAAAUUUAAAGAGCAAUCAUCAAGAUCAUGGAAACCUAGAAUGUCACAUAAAGUUUUCGGAAUUGUGGAAACACUAGCACCCAAAUCACAUAAAGCAAAACACUCAUGAUCUUUAAUUUUAAUCUUUAUAGUAGGUUCCCACUCAUCAUUAAGUUUUCUAGGUAUAAAAACUUCCAAAUUAAGUUUUUCAUCAUAAGAUUGCAUCAAGGCAUCAACAAUAUGUUUGGUAAAAGCUUUAUUUUGACUAUAAGCAUGAGGAGAAUUAACAACGGAUUGCAACAAGGAAAUACAACCUUCUAAAGGACAAUUAUCAUAAUCAAAUUCCUUGAAAUCCGAGAUAGUGGGUUCAAUGCUAUUUAAAGUCAUGACCUCUCCAAUCCCACUUUUACCAAAUUUAGCAUCAAGAUCUAAAAACUCCGAAUUAUUGGGACGGCUUCUAACUAAAGUUGACUCAUCUCCAGUCCCAUUAUUAUUAAGAUUCAUAUUGCAGAACAAAGAUCUAAUAGGAGACACAUCAAUAACUUUAAGAUCUUCAUCAUUAUUUUCAUCUAACUUUUCUGGUUUGGCAGCCAUCUUAUUGACUAAGGUAGCUUGCUUAUCAGAAAUUUGGGCUAUAGCAUUUUCGAGCCGGGUAAUUUGAGAGUUCACACCAUAAAAUUCUUUAGACAUAUCAUCAAGCUCUUUGUUCAUAAACUCCAAAAAACCUUUUUAUUCCUUAAGCUCUUUUCUGAAGAAAUUAUUAUGCUCAAAUUGCAAAGUCAUAAAACUUCUAAUGUUUGAAUCAAUCUCUUCCAACCUUCUAAGAAGGAGGUCGGUGUUCUUAGGAAAAGCCAUAAAGGCAACAAGUACGCAAAAAGAUAAGCGAGAAAGAGGGGAGAAGAUUGGGAAAGAGAGGUCGAAAUAAAACGGCAAGGGUGAAGUGGGGGAGAGGAAAACGGGAGGCAAAUGGCAAAUAAUGUAAAUGCGAGGGAGAUGAGUUUGUGAUGGGUACUUGGUAUGUCUUGACUUGAGCAAAGACCUCCCCGACAAGGCCCCAGAAAUCCUUCUUGCUACGUCUUGAGCUUGCAUUGGUUUUCCUUGAAGAAGAAAGGGUGAUGCAGCAAUAGUAGCGUAAGUAUUUCCCUCAGUUUUUGAGAACCAAGGUAUCAAUCUAGUAGGAGGAUCCUCAAAAGUCCCACGCACCUACACAAACAAACAAAGAACUCACAACCAACGCAAUAAAGGGGUUGUCAAUCCCUUCACGGCCACUUGCGAAAGUGAGAUCUGAUAGAGAUAGUAUGAUAAGAUAAAUAUAGUUUUGGUAUUUUAUAAUAUAGAUGCAAAAAGUAAAGAUGCAAAUAAAAGUAGAUUGGAAGAAAAUAUGAUAAGAGAUAGACCCGGGGGCCAAAGGUUUCACUAGAGGCUUCUCUCGAGAUAGCAUAAGUAUUACGGUGGGUGAACAAAUUACUGUCGAGCAAUUGAUAGAAAAGCGAAUAACUAUGAGAUUAUCUAGGCAUGAUCAUGUAUAUAGGCAUCACGUCCGCAACAAGUAGAUUGACUCCUGCCUGCAUCUACUACUAUUACUCCACACAUCGACCCACUCCUGCCUGCAUCUAGAGUAUGAAGUUCACAAAGAACAAAGUAACACAUUAAGCAAGAUGACAUGAUGUAGAGGGAUAAACUCAAGAAAUAUGAUAUAAACCCCAUCUUUUUAUCCUCGAUGGCAACAAUACAAUACGUGCCUUGCAACCUUUCUGUCACUGGGUAAGGACACCGCAAGAUUGAAUCCAAAGCUAAGCACUUCUCCCAUGGCAAGAAAGAUCAAUCUAGUAGGCCAAACCAAACUGAUAAUUCGAAGAGACUUGCAAAGAUAACUCAACCAUACAUAAAAGAAUUUAGAGAAGAUUCAAAUAUUAUUCAUAGAAAAACUUGAUCAUAAAUCCACAAUUCAUCAGAUCUUGACAAACACACCGCAAAAAGAGAUUACAUCGAAUAGAUCUCCACAAGAGAGGGGGAGAACAUUGUAUUGAGAUCCAAAAAGAGAGAAGAAGCCAUCUAGCUAAUAACUAUGGACCCAAAGGUCUGUGGUAAACUACUCACAACUCAUCGGAAGGGCUAUGGUGUUGAUGUAGAAGCCCUCCAUGGUCGAUUCCCCCUCCGGCAGAGCGCCGGCGAAGGCUCCAAGAUGAGAUCUCGUGGAUACAGAAGGUUAUGGUGGUGGAAAUUAUGUUUCGGGUGCUCCCUGGAUGUUUUUGGGGUGCGUAGGCUUAUAUAGGAGGAAGAAGUACGUCGGUGGCCGCCCAAGGGGCCCACGAGACAGGGGGCACACCCUAUAGGGGGGCGGCUCAUCCUCCUAUCUCGUGGCCGCCUCGACUACUUCUUGACUUGCACUCCAAGUCCUCUGGAUCACGUUCGUUCGAAAAAUCACGCCUCUGAAGGUUUCAUUCCGUUUGGACUCCGUUUGAUAUUCCUUUUCUUCGAAAUACUGAAAUAGGCAAAAAGACAGCAAUACGGGCUGGGCCUCCUGUUAGUAGGUUAGUCCCAAAAAUGAUAUAAAUGUGUAAAAUAAAGCCCAUAAACAUCCAACAGGGGUAAUAUACCAGCAUGGAACAAUCAAAAAUUAUAGAUACGUUGGAGACUUAUCAACAAGGCAUACCCGCUCCCCCUUGGAUGGGUUCGGAAAACUCUCCGUUGCUCCCCUCCAUUAUAGGUGGCUAGUCCGGCUCGAACGGGGACCAUGUAUGCGGGCGGGAGAAACCCGUGGGUCUGCAACUCUACCAAUCGGCUAUGGGGAACAGAACACUUCUCCCAGUCGCGUGGCUUAGUGCUACGGGUGCGAGAGGAGGAGUUGCGACGGUCGACCAUGAUGGAAUGGUUUCUUCCGGGCGCGCUCUGGUGGAUGCUCGUUAGGGAAGGAUGGUGUGAUUUGGAUAUGAGGAUCCCCAUCUCUUUAAAUAGGCGGUUUACUUACAUGGUCAGGGUGGCAAAUGUAAAAAUGCCCUGACUUCUCGCAUUUCGCUCGACACGUGGAGAUGGCCAUUAUUGCAUCACAGAAGCCGAGGAGUGCAACAUUGAUGGGAAGCCGGACACUGCUCGUUACAACAAGUACUCUAGAGAAUUUGGAGAAGAACCUGCCUUGCAAUGUUGAAGACAAUCUGUGCGCCGGACUCAUCGUCAUUGAAGCCUGGUUCAGGGGCUAUUUAGGGAGUCCAGGAUUAAGGGGUCCUCGGACAGCCGGACUAUAUACUUUGGUCGCACUAUUGGACUAUGAAGAUACAAGAUUAAAGACUUCAUCUCAUGUACGGAUGGGACUCUCCUUUGCGUGGAAGGCAACACUACAAAAAAAUACACUUCCGUGAUGAUACGUGUUUGUCACAGUAGGUCGCGUUUUUUGUCAUGCAUGUACAUCCAUGACAAAUUUAUGACAGAAUCAAGAUAGUCAUACCUGUGCUGUCAUAGAAGUGUUCCAUGACAUUACUAAAAUUAUCAUCACGGAAGUGUCCACUUCCAUGACGAUAAAUCGUGCGUCACAGAAGUGCUUUCAUCAAGGGUGACCAACACGUGGCAUCCACCGUAACAGAACACCGUUAAGCUAUGGGUCGGGUUUUGGAUCCGAUAACCCGUUAACAACCCCGACCAAUGGGGAUUUUCCACGUGUAAAAUCAUCAUUGGCUGGAGGAAACACGUGUCGGCUCAUCGUUCAGACAGAUGUCAUCCGCUCAUUGGACCGAAGGCGCCUAUGAUACGGCGACAUGUGGCACGGCCCAGAGGCCCAUUCCUGUGAAAAGGCCGGCCCAUUUAACUUGGUCAAAAGGUGGCGGGCCGGCCCAUGGAAAGCCUGUUAACGGCCUGUUCGCAUAUAGCCCAUUUACAGCCCGCUAACCCAGGGCCCGUUAUGCCCUAUCCGAAUUAGGCCCAGUAGCGUCAUCUGGGCCGUCCAAUAUUAUUCAGCCCGUUUUAACUUCCGGCCCAUGUGUGGCCCAUGACUUCUUUUGGCCCAUAUGAGGACCUUUGGAACUCUUGGCCCAUUAACGGCCCAUGGUGAAACUCGCCCGUAAUGAACAGUGUAUCACUUUAUACCCAUUAACGGCCCGUUAUUCCAUUGGGUCAUUUCCAUCCAAGUUAUCUUUCGGCCUUCUCAGGGCCCAUUGAUUCUUGGGCUCACUUGCAACAUUCGGUUACAUACGACCCGUUACUGUCAUUUUCUGCUUGUGGGCCAAAUUCAGCCCAUCGUUACAGUCGGCCCGUUUGCGGGCCGUUAAUAAGUUGGGCCAUUUUCAUGUAAAAAACCGUUGGGCUGUUUUCAUAGAGUUAUCAAAUACGGCCUAUUAACGGCCCGUUAUAGUCCAUGAAUAGUAUGGCCCAUGAUCGGCGAAAUGAUGAUACACCCGGUAGAAGGCCCAUGGAUCCUACGGCUCGUAUGAGGCCCAUGGAUAGUACGACCCGUAGAAGGCCCAUGGAUCGUACGGCCCGUAGAAGGCCCAUGGACCCUACGGCCCGUAGAAGGCCCAUUGAUCCCUAAGGCCCAUAUAGAAGGUCGAUGGAUCCUACUGCCCGUAUAGAAGGCCAAUGGUCCUAUGGCCGAAUGAAGGCCCAUGGAUCAUACGGCAUGCAGGAGGCCCAUGGUUACAACAGUCCGUGUGUUGCCAUGAUUAUUUUGGCCUAGUUACCAAAAUUAGGCUAUUGUGGCCACUAGAAAAACACAGAAAAAGAACUGUAGUGACUACAAGCAAACAACUAAACAAGACAAUAAGGAAAUAAAUAAGCAAGCAAUUAAGGCUAGCCUAUUACCGCUAUUACACAUAUUACAUCCACUGGGCAUCAAAGUUCGCCACCAGUGCAAAUAUAGGGAACAAAGCAGCAUAUUACAUACACUGGCCGUCAAAAUUGGCCUCUAGUGCAAAUAAACGCGGCAGCAAAACAAGAGCAUAACUGAAACAACUUCAGAAGAGCUCAAGAAACGUUAUCCUCAGUAUCCACCAUGCUGGCAAUAAGCUUAGCAAGCUGAUUAGCUUUGUCCUGUUUGGCGCUAGAAUCCUCCAACGCUUGCUGUUGCACCAGAAAGUAUGCAUCUGAAUGCUCUAGGGACUUCCGCAGUCCUUCCGCUUCUUGUUGCAGCACAGCUGAUCGAUGUCUUUCAUCUUGUAGUUGAGACUCAAGAAACCGAACUGAUUCAGACAGUGAGUUUGAAUAGCUUGUGCAAGCGGUAGUGGCCAGUAACUCGAACACUAAACCAAGACAGGACUUUGGGGUUGUCUCGCUGUCUUCAAGAUAGUCUUCCUUAGCUGUUUUAUCAGCUUUGUUGGAGACCAACAAGGAUGUGUCACUAUCCUGAACCUUAUCUGUAUUACUUCCUUUACCAUUGCUUAAUAAGGCACUCUUCCCCAAUAUUCUGUUAGCAUUCUAAAAGAAGAAACAAGCAGACACAUAACAAGUUUAGCAUGUACUAGUAUAUGAAACUCAUUUCGGUGAACCAGUUCAUUAGUACGGCUGACAGGAUUAAACUACCAAGUCUUCUAUUGCCAAGUACUAGUACAUAAUAAAAGCAUCAAACAAACAUAUAUCUAUGUCCUAUGGUCACUGCAUUGUCUUGCCAAAUCAAAAUAGAGACACGGUUCAAAUCAUAUCAGUUCAAGACAAAGCAGCAGUGAAAGAAUACAAAGCGUGGGAAACUACACGGCACAACAAGAUUUCAGAUGGGUACCACGGGUCUACAUGUACAACAACACUAUUGGCUCUGUUGUGAUGCUAGUAAUGUGCAUGAUAUGAAAGUCAACUGUAUACACAAUUGAAAUUGAAAUCAAAAGAGCUAUUGAUAAGAGCAAACCUGUUAAAGAAACAUGCGUAAACAUACCUGCUGUGCCAUUGGAGUUUUGAUUGGAUCCUUCAAUUUAAAAAUAAGUUUGUAUCGGUAAACACAGUGAUACAAGAGCAAAGCAAUCAUAGUUAAAAAAGGCGCGCCUAAGCGAGCGCUUAAGCGUGCCUAGGCUCUAGGCGUUGGCAAAACGCAUUGCACAUAACUACGCUUAAUCUAUGCAUAACUGCGCAUAAGCAUGCACUUUGGUCAGUAAAGUGCAAGGUGGUGGCAAAACGCACAAUUAACGCCUAGCACUUUUUUGAACUAUGAUAGCAAUGGAAUCUUAAAUUAGAACAGUUGUUCUUCAGGUUUAGGCACUUGUUCUACAUGAACAGAGUACAGUAAGACGCAAGAAUAUAAUACUUCAAAUAGAAAAUGAGCUCAUAGACCUUGCCACAUUCUUGGUUCGGGACCAGUACAGAACAAGGCGUUCCCAGUCAUCGUCCAGUAAAUGUGUCUUAGGAGAACGUAAGGGAAUUUGAUGAGUUUCUUUGCCGGUGAAGUACGUUUUCUUCAGGUAAUUCCGAUACUGCCACCAAGCAUUCUUGAAGAUAGCAGAGGUAUUAGCACAGGUUACCUCAUCCUGAGUAUCCAAAUCGGUCCUUCUCUAUAGAGAAAAAUGGGAAAAUUUGUUGUAUUAUAACCAUCAUGGAGGUAGGAUGUAUGGGACGAAGCAAAGUAAUUGCCAUGAAUAACAUUACUUACACAUAACUCCUGGACAAACACCUGUAACUGGCAUUUUCCUUCAUGUUUAGUAUAAUAUUUCCAAGAUGGGAAGAUACGCACAUACGAUUUAACAACAUCAAAUGCGAUAGAUGCUAAACUAUGACUGGCUGGUUGUGCUUCCUCCACGGGAAUAGGCGUACUAACUGGUGGAGUUGGGGUUCACCGUGAUAGUACUGGCCCUUUGGGCACUGGAGCUGCCUUACUAACUACUCUUGUUUGGGAGCUCUGUGGUGGAGAUGGUGCUGUGUCAACAGGAACUGGGUUACUAUCGGUUGGGGUUGGGGUUAGAUUGGGUGAAGCUGGUUCUCUGUCCAUCACAGUAGGGGUACAAUCUGCGAGAGUUUGGGUUAUGUGUGGUAGGGCUGGUUCUUGUGCAUGUACAUCCGGGGUGCUAUCUCCACCAAGAGGUAGCACUGUUUUAUUUGAAGACCGUGUUUUUAUUCCGCUAGAUACUGGCAUCACCCGCUCCAAUUCAAAUGGCUGAUAAACAGGAAACAUAGUUGAAUGUACAGACAUUGUAUGAGAGACAGAUGCAAUAGAUAAUGUGGAAAAAAGAGGGCAUGAAAUAGUUGACAUGUAUAUUGUUUAACUAAAACGGAUAGCAUGACAUAAUUUCACAUAUAUGAUGUCUAUCUAAACUGGAUAGCAUAGCAUAACAUAAUUCAAAGAUAUGAUGAAUAACUAAACAGGAUCGCAUGACAUAAUUCACCUACAUGUUAUCUAAGUAAUCAGGAUCACAUCAUUUAAUUCACAUAUGUGAUUUAUAUGCUAAAUAGAGGGCAUUCGAUAUGAUGUCUGAAUUAAGAACAUGGUGUUGAAUAUUGUGUAUAUGAUGUCUAAACUAUGCAAUGCAAGACACCGUAUGCAUAAUAUGAGUAGUAUAACCGUGCCAAGUUAAAGCAUACACCUCAGUAGGGGAAUAGGACUGGUCAUCUAUCUCUGAAUCCAUCUCUGAGGAGCUAUCGGGACCCAACAAGAGAUCUUCUUCGACAGGUAGCACUAUCUGCUCUGAAGGCCUUGUUUUCACUCCAGAUUUUUCCAUCUCCCACCCAAAUGGCUGAUUCACAGGAAGAAUAGUUUAAUGUACAAACAUUGUCAACAAAUGGAAAUGUAAUGAAUAAAAGGAUGGGCAAGAUAUCAUUCAAAUAUAUGAUGCCUGGUUAAACAGGAUGGCAUUGCACAUUUCACAUAUAUUAUGGCUGGCUAAAAGACAUGAGACUGCAUAAUUCCCAUAUAUGAUAUAGAAACUAAACAUGUGGCAUUACAGAACAUGUCUAAACUAAGCAGAUGACAUAUAUGAUGUCAAAAGUAGGCACUACAAGGCAACAUAUGCAUGAUAUGACUAACAUCAUCAUGCCAAGGUAGAGCAAACACCUUGGGGGGUAAAUAGGAGUGGUCAGCGGCGUUUGAAUCCGCCUCAGAACAGAUAUCUUCCUCUGGAUUACAAUCUGGAGAGGGGUGGGGAGGGUUUGCCAUUGAACCCACCAUGGAGCGAUGUCUGCAUGACAUUGUAUUGCCGCGCAAAACACUUCUCUUUUUCUCUACAUGUUCAGCAUGACUGUGUACAAUAUCUGACAUGCAUACGAAAAAAUAUGGUGAGAUUAUGUAAGGAGAGCAUGCAGAAAUUUAGAGUGAUGGUAACAACCAGUAGAUGGAUCCAAAAAUAAUGAUAGCAGGCUGAUGAUUGCUUUAAAUUAGUAAAAAGAUAGAUGAUGAUUGCUUUACUAUUUGUUUCCCACCCAAGAUGAACAACAUAGGCAUACCGUAGGUGAACCAGAUAUUAGACAGACAUACUAUUCAUUGCUGCCUCGAUAUGUGCCCCACAACUAAUUUAGAACUCAAGUUUGAACAUUAAUUUGGACCUGAGUUGGGAGUCCAAGAGCUGAAGUGGACGAUAAAGUAGCAGGUAAGUUUAAGCAAUGCAUAACAUAAGCAGAAACAAAAGAGUGCGACCUCUCUUGUGGACUCGUGUACUCCUCAGGUUCAUCUGCUGAGUCGAUGAUGGUGACGCCGUUGGGAUGGGUGCCGGCGGCAGGGAAGGAGAUCUGAGGCGGCGAAAGACGGUCAGGAGUUGUGAUGUCUGGUUUGGUGGAUGCUUCUGUCGAUGGAGCAGCUCAGGUGAGGUGGACGACGUCGCGGCAGGAGCAAGACAAACCACACAAAGUUCCCUUCGACACGUACCUGUAACUGAAGUAAUUCUGUAAGCGCUCAAUUAGCUUGCAUGAUUCUUAAAACGCAGGGAUAGUAGAAACACCGAAAUAGGAUAGGAAAAUGCACACGGUAAACAGAGCAUUUGUAAACACAGGAUUUCUGUCAACUUGGGUGUUUGGUUUACAGGAAUUGGAAGAGCAGAGGAAUGCAAAGAAACAUGGCCAAAAUAAAGAGAAACCAUAUGAAAGCGUGUACAGUUAGAAUGUUAUUCUGGCACUAAUGCACUUGGUCUUGUUUUCAUGCAUAGGAUUUUGAAAAGUAGGUCCAGGUGGAUGUUUUGCUUCAUUCCUUUCAACAAAAUGCAUGAAUAAUUGAAUAGUAGAGUGCCAUUGGAAAAUUCCCUAUUGCUAUGUUUUUCCGUUAAACCAAAAUAGCCCUAAUGGAUCGACGUGAAUGUAUAGUAAUAAGUGAUGCAACAAGUGUACAACCUCUUUGCCGUAGCCAUGUCGACCUCAGCAUCAUUGGGUUGGUCGCUGAAGUAGUUGAGGCAGAGGUGGCUGUCAGAGGUGUGGAGGAAGAUCUGAGGAAUCUGUAGACGGCGUCCAGGGCACUGCUCUGUUGUGAUGGAUCGUUCUGUCGUUGGAGCAGCUCCGGUGAGCCGUAAGACGUCAAGGCUGAAGUAGCACAAGACAGACAUCGUCAAUCUCAAGUGGGAUUCUAAUAGCAUCUCCAAUAGAUGAUGUAAAAUGGAUGUAAAAUUAACAUCACCAAAAACCACCUGACUACAACAGAUGAGGUAAAAAAUGUUGACUCUGAACUUAACUAUCAAAACUGAAAUUUACUGUGGAAUCUGAAUGCUACUGUCGAAACUGAACGCAAUGGUAGCAGAGAGGCACUUGACAUGUAGUUUAGGGGGGGGGGGCUGCAGUUCAUCUUCAACCUGCACCCCCCUGAGCCGCCAGCCACCACCGGCCGAACCACCGGCCCCAGCGCCACCUCACCACCCCGAAACAACUCGCCACUGCCGCCCUGGCCAACCCUCUAGGCCCCCCGCCCCCACCCUGAACCCUAAGAUAGAUAGUGGGGUACCUCUUCGGCGAGCCCCCGUCCCCGCUGUGGGUGGUUCUUCCUUAACUCCGGCGAGCCCCCCCCAACCCCUGAAAAUUGACUGACCCAAAAGUCAAUUCAGUCGACUGAAGUGUGGCUUAAUCGGAGCAGAGCAGCAACACGAGCGAGGGGGAGAGCAGUAGCAGCAGCUGGGCGAGCGAGCGAUCGAGCGAGAGCCGGAGCAGCAGCAGCAACGUGAGUGAGCGAGCGAGCGAGAGCCAGAGCAGCAGCAGCAGAUCUGGCUGGUAUGGACGCCGCCGCUGAAGGGGCCUCGCACUGGGGGAGAGCCAUCGUGGAGAUGUGCUACCUCUUGAGCACUGCGUUGGUUUUCCCCGAAGAGGAGAGGAUGAUGCAGUAAAGUAGCAUAAGUAUUUCCCUCGGUUUUGAGAACCAAGGUAUCAAUCCAGUAGGAGACCAUGCACAAGUCCCUCGUACCUACACAAAACGAUAGCUACUCGCAACCAACGCGAUUAGGGGUUGUCAAUCCCUUCACGGUCACUUACGAGGGUGAGAUCUGAUAGAGAUGAUAAAUAAUAUUUUUGGUAUUUUUGAUAGAUAGAUGCAAAGUGAAAAGUAAAAGGCAAAGUAAAGCCAAAGCAAAUAAUAAAGUGAUAGAUAUUGAUAUGAUGAGAAUAGACCCCGGGGCCAUAGGUUUCACUAGAGCCUUCUCUCAAGAGCAUAAGUAUUCUACGAUGGGUGAACAAAUUAUUGUUAAGCAAUUGACAGAAUUGAGCAUACUUAUGAACAUAUCUAGGCAAUGAUCAUGUAUAUAGGCAUCACGUUCGAGACAAGUAGAUCGAAACGAUUCUGCAUCUACUACUAUUACUCCACUCAUCGACCACUAUCCAGCAUGCAUCUAGAGUAUUAUGUUAAAACAGAGUAACGCCUUAAGCAAGAUGACAUGAUGUAGAGGGAUAAAUUCAUGCAAUAUGAUAAAAACCCCAUCUUGUUAUCCUCGAUGGAAACAAUACAAUACGUGCCUUGCAACCCUUUCUGUCACUGGAUAAGGACACCGCAAGAUCGAACCCAAAGCUAAGCACUACUCCCAUUGCAAGAACUACCAAUCUAGUUGGCCAAACCAAACGGAUAAUUCGAAGAGACUUGCAAAGAUAACUCAAUCAUACAUAAAAGAAUUCAGAGAAGAUUCAAAUAUUUUCCAUAGAUAAUCUGGAUCAUAAACCCACAAUUCAUCGGUCUCAACAAACACACCGCAAAAAGAAGAUUAGAUCGAAUAGUUCUCCACAAGAGAGGGGGAGAACAUUGUAUUGAGAUCCAAAAAGAGAGAAGAAGCCAUCUAGCUACUAGCUAUGGACCCGAAGGUCUGAAGUAAACUACUCACACUUCAUCAGAGAGGCUAUGGUGUUGAUGUAGAAGCCCUCCAUGGUAGAUGCCCCCUCCGGCGGAGCUCCGGAACAGGCCCCAAGAUGGGAUCUCGUGGAUACAGAAAGUUGCGGCGGUGGAAUUAGGUUUUUGGCUCCUCUUCUGAUCUGUCGGGGGUACGUAGGUAUAUAUUGGAGGAAGGAGUAUGUCGGUGGAGCAACAGGGGGCCCACGAGGUAGGGGGGGCGUGCCCAGGGGGGCGCCCCCCACCCUUGUGACCUCCUCGGUUACUUCUUGGAGUAGGGUCCAAGUCCCCUGGAUCAUGUUCGGUGAGAAAAUCAUGUUCCCGAAGGUUUUAUUCUGUUUGGACUCUGUUUGAUAUUCCGUUUCUUCGAAACACUGAAAUAGGCAAAAAAACAACAAUUCUGGGCUGGGCCUCCGGUUAAUAGGUUAGUCCAAAAAAUAAUAUAAAAGUGGAAAAUAAAGCCCAAUAUAGUCCAAAACAGUAGAUAAAGUAGCAUGGAGCAAUCAAAAAUUAUAGAUACGUUGGAGACGUAUCAAGAUGUCGCCCGCGGUGCUGGCUUCAAGGUAGCCGCUCCAUGGGGGUGCGUGAUGGAGCAUCGUCGGCACCGGGAGGUCGAGUUAAGGAGAAGGUGCGAUGCGAUGAGUGUACAACCUCUUUGGUGGCGCCGAGUAGGCCUCGGCUUCGUCCGAGGAGUCGGUGAGGAUGUUGCGGUUCCGGUGGACCAGGUUAAGGCGGCGCUGUGGGGAUGGAGCAGCCACGAUAGACGAGGCGAUCGUUGGAGCAGCUCCUUGGAGGUGGAGGACGGGGCGGCUGAACCGGCUGGACGGCGAUAUGGACGAUGGAUCCUCAUCCGGGGAGGUGGACGAGGGACGUGAGCUGUUGCGGUGGACGACGUCGUCGGGGAAGAGGCUCCGGCUGGGCAGCGGUGAUGUGGCGGACGGAGGAGGGUGGGGUUUCGCGGCUGGAGCGGAGAGGUUAUGGCGGCCCAGGAUUUAAAUGGCGAAAAGAGGGCGAUGGGAGGGGGUGAAGCAUGACUUAGGGACGCGCUUGUCCAAAAUGUAGGGUGUGUUACAAAAGUACCCCCCACCGAUUUGAACUAGCAGCCCUUUCGGCUCAGGGUUAGAAGGGGGAUUUCGCGUGUCGGGAUUUGGCAGCUGGAGGGAGUUUUCGCGCGUGUUGUAAUUUCGGGAUAGCAAGGCGCGGGUUGUGAAGGCGCCAGUUUUGGGAGCAUGAUAUCUGAAUUUUCGGGAUAUAACAAGACGCGGGUUGAAUUUUAGGGACAAGCCUAAUGUGUAGUAAUAUUGUACUUGUACGUACCAAAUCAAUUUGCACUUCCCUCAACCAAAAAGAAAACAAAAAAAAUAAAACUAUUCACACCACACAAAGAGAGAGUCUUGCCCCGUUUUACUAUACAAAUGCUAUUCAAAGCUACUCCCUCCUUCCAUCUAUAUAGGGCCUAAUGCGUUUCUCGAUGCUAACUUUGACCAAAUAUUAGAGCAAUGGUAUAUGACAUGCAACUUACACAAAGCACACGUUAACUUCGUCUGUGAAAGGUUCUUUCAAUGAUAUAAUUUUCACAUUGUGCAUGUCAUGUACUAUUAAUCUUGUCAAUAGUCAAAGGCGGUCUUAAAAAUCUCAUUACGCCCUAUAUAGAUGGAAGGAGGGAGUAUGAGUCCAUGUUAUGUCCGAUUAAUUUUUUUCGCUUGCUGUAUAAUGCAUGUAACCUACUCAUACCAACAUUUUAGUGCAUUCCAAAUGUCUAUACUACCGCUGCAAUUCGAACUAAAUUUGAAUUCGUUUCGCUAUUUCAAUAAGAAUCUACAAUCAUGAUUGUUGCCAACUUCAACCAUCAUUCAUGUAUUACCUUAAUAACACACCACAUGAUUACUAUAGAGAUAGAUAUGAACUAUGUGUACUACAUGAACUCGAAUUCUAUUUUUUGAAUACACUUGAUGUUGAUUCCAAAUAAUAGUACAUUUGAUGUACUAACUAUAUAUUCAUAAUCUAAACCAUGUUCCAUACGUACACCGUGUUUAUCACACAAAGUAUAGUGCCCCGCCCCCUACAUUAUGACAAGUAUUUAGACCUGAGUUGCAAAAGCCACACAUUAGCCCAAAUUAUAAUCACUGUUCUACAUUGUGAUAUCUUCUUCAAGUAUCCGUAUCCACCUUUUUAUAAAGAAUUAUGAUCUUUGUUCGUCUUUUACACCUUCAUGAUCCUCUUCUAUUUGUAGCUAGCUAGCGCUAACUUUCUAUCGUGCAUGCACACGCCCGCCCCCCUCACACACCCUUAGCGUCCCCUCCAUCGCACACGUUCAUUAUUUAUCUUUUGGUCGUCCACCAGCGGUGUGUGUAGGCCCCCGGCUCCUUCUUUCUGGCACACACCGGUCGAUAUACCUCUCUAGCCAAGUGUCCUACAACAAACACAUAUAUACUUCCCCUCUUCUCUUCUCACCGUCCAUGCCCCCAUAUGUCCAAUACGAUUCCACGCAGGUGCACACUCCCGCCCCUCUUUUCAUUAAUCACAUGCUCGCCCACUCCUCCCCCCUCGACAUGGUAGGCCUCUCGCACCACCUCCUAGCCACACCCUCUCCCCCCGUCUGCCUCUCCGGGCCUUAUUUGCUUCUAACACAUGCAGGCGUGUAUAUGAACUGAUCUCCCUACAUAUAGCCAGGUCGACUAUAAUUCGUUUUCACCAAGCACCAAUACACUUACCUCGCUAGUUAUGUCUCUCCUUUUCUCGGACACACGACAGUUGAUCUUCCUAUGUAGUUACGCAUGCUUACCACAACCAUAUCUUCUCCCCUCAUCAUCCUUGAAUACCCCCCGACCCGUCUCUCACACGCACAUGCAUAGACAGACAGACAUCCCCCGCCCUCUCUUAUUGAUAUUGCACUCAUACCCUCCAUUUGUCUAGCAGGCCUCUCCCACCAUUUGUGAGACGCCACUCCACCACCAACCCUCCGACGCUCUACCUUUGUCUUUUUCCCAACCUUAUUCCUCUGCUACACAUAUCCAUGGAUGUCGGUCGAUCUCCCUCAAUACAUAGCUAGGUCUCUCUUCUUCCCCACACGUAUACUAGUCGACCGGUCUCUACCCCCCCCCCACACCGAUAGUCGAACGUUGUAGGUAGGUAUCCAUGCCAUGGAGAAGAACUGCACCUCUGCCCUCUCAAAUUCCAGUAGGCCAGCCGCCCUGUAUCUUUGACGUGGGCAAACACAAAUUUGAUGGCACUCUUUAUCGAUCGCGCAGCCACACACUUCAUCCAUGUUUUCAAUUCUAUCGAUAUCUCACGUCCAUGACUCCAUUUCACACACAUUGCAUAUGUUACAUUUUUCUGAUUGAGAUAUCAUCAACACAUUGCCUCUGUUUCGCACAAACCAUCUCUCUCACACCCACCCACGUACGUACCUGCACCUAAAGAAGAAGUGCACGCAGGACACACGUACUCACGUCUCGUUCCCGGCCACACCCGCGCUGGUACACAGUGGAGUUUGUUUCUGUACGAAAAGGCAGCCCACGUGAUAAUUUGACACGUGUAGCGGUUGUUUACACGAAGGAGGGUCAGGUACCACGCCUACAUUAUAAAACGAUUGUCGUGGGGAAAAUGGAAAAAUGGGUUUGUCUCUCGUGAGUCUCGUCACACAAUAUCACACAAGGCCGUCGUGGCCUCUCUCUCAGCGUUGGUCAGUGAUCUGGCUGCAUCCCAUCCACCAGUGGAGAGGGAAGAUGUGCAUCGUCUCUCCGUUCGACGGUGUUGAGGUAGCUCGUCCCGAUCUGCGGUACCCGCCAUUCUCUCUGACCAAGCUCCGGCGCGGUAGGGCCUUCGCCACUUGCUCGCUGCCGCAGUAUGGGCAGAUCCCGGCCGCCGGCGCCCUCCUAGUAACAUCUCGACGACCCUCAGGUACAGCUUCCUCCGGCCUUGCUCCACUUCCCAUCUUCCCAUGUUACUGCAUGUGGAUCUUCUUUAGUUGUUUGCUUAAAUUGUAUCUCGGCCGGCGUACUUUCCAUCUUGCAAUCUUGUCCUCAAACCAUUUUUGAUAAACCACCAUGUGCUAUCUUUCCCUUUUUACAUGGAACAUGCUUCUUUUUUGUCGGCGUAUGUGUCUUCAACUCGUGUUAUUGGGAAGUAAUUGUUUCCUUUCGACCUCCUUCUGCAAACAGGGCUAUCCAUUUUCACCUUGUUGCUAUUGCGACCUUUUGGUGAACUGCACAAAUCACUUUUCUGAAGAGUGUUUUGUGCAGUUCCGCCAAAAUGUCACACGGGCAAUGUUUUUACAUUUCUGUGGGACUGCGGAAAGGGAGAUUGGUUUUGCUAUCCUCCUCAUCCAACUCCAUGCCUAAUCUUCUCCAACAAGAAGUUAGUCCUAAAGAGAGAUCGUAGAGGUGAUCGGCUUCUAUUUAUGUGUGUUAUGUUUCAUCAUCUAGUUCCACUAUUAUUGUAAUCACACUGACUGGAUAUCUUUGCAAGCAGGGAUGGUCCACCCGAUUUUAGUGGAGCUGCACAAAAUGAUCGGAUUGUGGUGUCCUUCAUACACCUCUUUUUUGGCUACGGUGAAACUACCUGCCAAGCAAUGAACAAUAUGCCAAGGAAAUGGAGCCAUGCCUACGAACAACAUCGAUCAAUUAUAUAUUUUUCUUUAUUUGUACACCUUCUCACAACUUUGUCUUCAGUUGUGAUGUGAAUAUUGACGCUGAUCUGCAAACCAUUGAGAUGCAUUAGCCAUGGUAGUUUCAUUUGUAUUUGAUCGAAUGUUGUAACGAGAUAAUCUCGAGGCAAGACACAUGUAUCCUAAGUUGAAACCUUUUUUUUCCUGCGGGAACCAGAGUUGAAACCUUCAUAGCAUCACAGUACAAUUUCAUCAAAAUUAUGCGUACAUAUAAACAAAUCCUGAAGGAUUGAUAGCAAUGCCAGAAACAAUUCAACUUCAUUUCGCCGACAUGUUGGACAUCCUUCAUCCGGCUCCACCUGCCAUGCAGCAAUAUUGAGUGCACAACACAACUUCAGGGAAAGAUUCACCCCGGUCGUUGCGCCGCAGUAGUAAUGACUAGUGAGUAGUCAAAUCACAGAGCCCCACCUUCGCCACAGUAAGUUGCUCGGACGAAGCAACCAUCAUUUCUCCAUUCCUUAAAUCCGCUAGUACUCCCAUAUUCCCACAGUAAUAAGUUGCUCGGGCGAAUCAACCAUCACUAUAUCCGCUCAUGUGUGAUGACCACGAGAGCUAUCCAUUCAGAUUGGAUGUUAAAAAAAUAAAGGUCGAUAACUAAUGCGGCAAACUUUCAAAAAAAAAACUAAUGCGGCACCUCGGGCCAACGCGACCAGAUCGCAUUUCGCACGAGAAAUUACACACCAUGUUUCGUUGACAUGUGGUCCCGUUCCAACAUAUCAGUCAGAUGACAACGAGUAGUAGGAGUGUUUUCGAACCGACGUGUAGGCCGGGGCGCCCCUUCGUGAACCGUGGCAAACUGGCAACCGUCCGCCGACUCUUCGCCUUUCCUUCUUGAUUUGGAACUGCUAUUGCACGCUCUUUCUCUCCCUCCUCCAUUUUCCUUCAGCCCUUCACCCUUUCUUCUGCCAUUGUUCGAUCAUCUUCUCCAUGGAGCGAACAGGAUAGAAACGACCCCGUUAUUCUUGCCCCGAUCUGAAAGAUGACGUGGUGGAGGAUCUCAUUGAUCGGUGCGACGUCAUCACCUCGGCUAGCAUGGCAGGUUCGUUCAAGCCCAUUCUUGACUCAACUAAUAACAUCAUUACAAGGAACCCAAGAGUCAAGGAGCGGUUUGAUCUCCCCUAUCUUCUUCGCUAUGACCCUGAUGACUGGUGCCGUCACGACGGAGGCCUCACCCUGUGCAAGUUGACGUCGCUUGAUAAUGAUACGUAUGAUGUUAAGAUGCCAUCGCUUGAGGGCAAGGCUUGGGCAGGCGCAAAUGGAGAUUGGGUUGUUUACAUUGGGUCCAACUGCGAGUGGGAACUUGUGAAUGUGUACACUCGUGACCGGGUUCCACUUCCAAAAAUCUCAGCAGACUGCCCAGAGGUUGAGCACACCGGUAUUGUACACACGUUCAAAUAUAAUCAUGGUGACUAUCUUCUAUGGAAGAUACUAAUUUGUCGAGUUCCCAACCUCUCUUGGAAUUACAACAACUAUGAAGUUGUUGCUAUCUUCGACAAGCUUGUUGCCGUCCUUCGUGGUUUGACUCGAUGGAUAUUGCUCAAAAAUCAGUUUCUGUACACGGAUGAGUACUGUGAUGCAAUUGAAUACAAGGGCCUUGUGUUUGCUGCCACCACUCGUGGCACUGUUUUUGCAUGGAAUCCUCGUAGUUUCGGUAUGUUUGUCUUCCACCAUAAUUAUAAUUGUUUCAUCCACAUGCAUGCAGGUUAGCAAGUUUCCCUUUACUAAUUAACCUUCUUCUUGUGUUUCCAAGGUCCUGUGACCAUUCCACCACCCAUACUUGAAAAUUUUAUAACCAAGGGGGAGAUGACGAUGGUGAUGAUCACGAGCAUGAGGACGAGCAGCGCCCAUAUACUUUGUGGCGCCUGGCAACUAAUUCCGAUGGAUCACCUCUUCUUGUGUGUAUACAGCCCACUGAUGAUGUUACUGCUAAGGAAGCAGGUGUAGUCUCCCAUGGUCGCACUCUCCGGACCUAUUCCAACACCCAUUGCAUGGUAUUCAGGAUGGAUACUAGUGUGCUAGCGCCAACUCCUUCUCCCUGUUACAGAAUUGAUAGUCUUGGUGAAAACUCGCUCUUCCUUGGACAAAACUAUCCAAUGAUGGUGAAAGGCGAUCCAACUGCUAUUGACACAAUGUUACUACCAUUUAUGAGAAGCAACUGCGUCUAUACCUCGGACAUUUGGGUGGUUCCCUACCCUGGUACUGAUAUAGUAGGCCGCUUCAGCCUGGAUGAUCAAUCCUGCAUUGGUCUCCAGAUCGACAAUGGAUGGCCCGUCCCAGAGAAUCACUUGUGGUUCAAAGCAAGCGUUUCCAACGCCAAGGAAUAGUUGAGUUGAAGUUCAUUUCAUUGCUUGUUAUUUGUUGUGUGGUGAAAACUUUAGUAUUUAUAAUGUAUCUCGUUGUCGAUUGAUGUGGGUUGAUGAUCUGUUGUAUGUAAUAAAAUGAUAUGCCUGUGAUAAACUUACUAAAUUUAUGAAUGGCUUUCGAGUCUCUUCUGUGAGUGAGUGGUGCGACGAGGCAAAAAAAUAUUUUCUGAAUACAUAAUUGUACAUGCAUUGCAACAGGUUAUCGGAUGAGGCCAAUCAACAAUAGUAGUACACUAUUUGUACUAGCUUCACAUGCUUCGCGCGUUGUGCGGGUGUUUUUACUGUAGCCAUAUUGUACUACGUAACCAGCACCUCGAAUCCUCGAUACAGUACUAGUAGUACUAUAUAGUAAGUAGUAGGAGUAGUAGGGUGGCAUGGGCCAGAACAAGCAUUCACAUCCAGGAGUACGGCACACGCCACCAGCACGACUUCCAUCUGACACCAUAUUUCUUGGAGUCCGUGCUAGAGCAAUCUCUUCAACCUCAUUGUUUCUCUAACUCAGCCAUCGCGCGGCGGGCGAGGUGGGGGUUUGCCGAUAGUCGGUUUCCUUAACUGCGGUCCCACUUGUAAGGUCAACUGCAACGCACGACCACAAACGGACCUCCGUUUUGCACGAACUCCAACGAUAAUUUUGACUAGAAAAGCAAGACCAAAGAAAACAAGAACCACAAGAAUACAUUUUACUACUCCUGUAAGUUGGAUUAGUGCCUUCUUGAUGCAUUCAUUGUUGAUCUGCGGAGGCUCGAUCUUGCGUGCUUCUUUCUUCUUCGAGUGUAAAGAAGUAGACGUUGCUUCCUCGCAUCUAAUCUCAUGUCUAGCCUCUAUUCUAGUACUCCCUCUGGUCCGUUUUUCUCUGCGUCUAAGAAGCAACACGCAUACCAAGUAGGAGUAUCAACAAGUGCACUAAUCUCAUCUAUAGCCUCUGUGCUAGCUAAAAGUGAUAGAACAUCUACUAAAUUGCGCUCUAUCGAUAUAUGGAUGUACUCUUCUUCCCAAUACAAAAACUUGCAUCCAUUCUACUCCCUCCGUUGCACAAUACAUGCCUUCUAUUUGUCAAAAUAUAUAUGUAUCUAGACAUGUUUUAGUAUAUAGGUACAUCCAUUUUUGGACAAAUGAAAGUCAAGUAUUUUGGAACGGAGGGAGUACACAAUAAAAAUUUUAAGUUAGCACAACUAGUCUAAUCCGAGAGCACAACAGAAGAUUUGGUCGGGUUCUUCCUCCUUUUGCCGACACAUGGGAUAUCCAACAUCCAGGUCGUGUCAUGAAAGAAAAUAGAGUGGUAGUUGAAGCCACGAGAUGUGCAUCUUGGGUUAAACUGUAAAUAGAAUCUUACUACUCUUGAGUAACUCCAAAAGCGGCCACCGAAGAUCUUUCUUGGAUUUGUUUUUCAUCACCAGCACGUCGAGGUGAAAGAUGCGCAGGUUCAGUGGGUCCUCUUGCGUUUUCAUUGACAUGUGGGGCCGCAUGUGAGCAAACAGAUGAUGGGCUCCGCGCGUCCGCUGGCUGGCUGAGAAGAGAGAUAGAGGAGGGCUGAGCACGGACUGCGGGAAAUUUGUUCUAUGUAACCAGCACCUUGAUAUUCGUGUGUGGUUGUUUCUAGAAUAAAAAAAGGAGGUACAUCUACUUAUGUUACUCCCACUACGCCUAGCCUAAGGUUAGUAGGUGACCUUGCGCUUGGCUCUUCGCCUCUUCCGGAAGUCGAUGGUUCUACAGUAGUGCUUCUGGCAAUCUGACACCAAAUGAACUAUUGCACGUCCACCACUUGUAAGCAAAAGUUUCUCCUCGUGCUGCGAGCCACCACGCACACAUUGGCAAGGGAGAAGGCGUAAUCAAGCUUCUCGUCGUUCUGCGAGUUGACGGGACACAUCAAAGUUAUUUACUAGUAGUACAUACUCUCUCCAAAAAAGGGCUGACCAUGUCAUUGCUACCAUCCUGUGCUCCAUUGUUGAGUACGUGCACUAUUCACGUGCCAUUCACGUGCCAUCGAGGAGAAAAAAUAUUGCGUAGGUGCCAUCAAAGUGCAUGACUCACUUACGGAAAAGGGUUUCCCCCCGCUUCCUCCCCUCCCCCGCAUGACUCACUUACGCACUGCUUAUCUGAUUAUCUCCAUUUUCUUGCAUGACACGUGCACCUUGAUGCUAGAUGUCUCGCGUGUUGGGAAAAGGAUGAACAAAGCUCACGUAAAAGAAAAGAGUUAAAGAGCAUAGAUUCCCGACGAUCGAGGAGGAGCAAGGAACCUCGCGGUGGAGCGUCUGCAAGGAACCUUGCGCAUUUUCCCCUGUUUUUUGCCGCCUGCCCACCUAUAAACAACUAAAAGAACAUGAACUUUUUGCUAACCACUAGAAACAGUACAUCAUGAUGCUAAGUUGAAGAUGUUUUAUACUCCCUCUGUUCCCAAAUAUAAGUCUUUUUAGAUAUUUCAAUAAGGGACUACAUACGAAACAAAAUGAGUGAAUCUACACUCUAAAAUAUGUACACAAGCCAACGCACUAACUCCAUCCGAUCCAACUCAUGCACAUACGCGCACAGCAUGGAGCACACAACGCACGUACACAAGACGUGCAUGCACACACGCUCGGCCGCAGAAUGCACGUGAAUAACACAUGCAUGCGCACACACUCGGCUGCAUGGAGGCGUGCGCCAUCCGCGGCGACGUCCGGUUCGUCGUGCUACGACGAAGCUCACAUGCAACGGCGCAUACGCAUCUCUUGCAGCACCACUUUGUCGUUGUUGCUCAACUACUAGUCGGAGACGAAGACGACCGCAACCUCGGCCUUAGAGCUAGCACCGAUGGAAAACACGCAUGCUGCACGCACACGAGCACAUACGGAGUGCCCACAACGUGGUGGUGGUGUGUCCCCAGUCGCCUCUACUCCUUCUGCGCACGUUGUCUAUCAAGGCGGCUGCAUGCUAAUGAUGAUGUGGGUGAGAUCUUCUAGGACUCAGAUGAUGACGAGGAAAAUUAUGAGACACAAGGUGACGUACACUGUCAAGGUCCACGGUCAAGGGGGUGCUAGCAAGUGCUUAGAUGUGCUUAGAGCAAGUACAAUAGAGCUGAGUCAGCAGGCUAUAAGGAAUAAAUAGUAGUAUAUUUCUGCUUAGGCUGGUUGUAAUGGGGAGUAUCAUAUACUAGUAUCAUGCAUAUGAUACUAGUGUAUGAUACUUACCUCCGUAAUGCAUAGUAUCAUAUAGUAGUAUCAUGUAGUACUCUAUUUAUUGUCAUGCAUGAUACAAAGUAGCAUAGCAUUUAUUAUGAUACGGUAUCAUGAUAUGAUACUCCACUCUUUCUUUCUUCAUUUAAUGCUAUGACACCUCGUCAAAAUUUCCUAGUUGGCAUGCAUGAUACUAGCUAUGAUACUCCAUUACGACCAACCUUAGUUGGAGGAAAGAGAAGAGGAGAGAGAAGGUAAGCGGGCUCUUCAUGAAGAGCCAGCUCUAGCACGUGCUCCUAGGCACUUUGUACAUGUUGACUAUAAGAUGGGAUGUAGGCUUAUAGCCAGCAGCUGGCUAUACUAUUAAUGCUCUUUAGAUGAGGUGCUAAGUGCAUUAAAUGGCUUAGUAACUCAAGUGUUCAAUGCAUAGGUGCUUAGUUUAUUGGUGCCACAUCAUAUUUUAUGCCUACGUGGCAGGCUUAGCAGCUAUACAUGGUGGAGCACUGGGAGAGGCCAAGGUUGAUCAUAGUGGGGAGUAACUUGUACUGUAACAUAUUAGUAUGUUACUCUAAACAUCUCUAUAAACCGGAAAGGAGGGAGUAGUAACAUAGACUAGUGUCAUAUGCAGAGUAUGGGAGCACAUGAUAUUUCCCCGUCCGGACCGAUCCCAAGUUGGCUUCUCACCUUCUUGGCCCAACAAAAACCCCUUCCCCCUCCCGCGCGCACUUCCCGCCCGGAGCCAGCUCAUGAGCCUGCCACUCCACAUUGAUGGCAAGUCAGGGCAACACGACCUCUCACUGCUUCCGCCGUUGAAGCGGCGCGCCAACCGAGGGCACCACCCACUGCACGCCUGGCAUUUCAGACUACACAGUGGAUAGUAACUUUUAGAGCAAGUACUAUAAUUAGAUGACAUAAGCAGGCUAUAAGGAUUUAAAUAUAGUAUUUGUGAUUAGUUGAAGGAGAGAGAAGAGGAGAGAGAAGAGAAGCAGAUUGUAAACGUGUAGCCGGUUGUACUCCAACAUACUCUACUUUGUGAGACAAAAGGUGGGGCCAUUAUUAAUGAUAUUGUAUUUAUACUAAAGGGACUAACGGACGACUUAAUUACUUCAUUUUUUUAGACAAACCUUGGUGGGGCUAUUAUUGACUUUUUUUGAGCUAUUAUUGACUUGGACGUGGGGUUUGGGGGCCAAAGGCCUACUAUUAUACUCCGACCUGACAUGCUCUACCCUAGCCGCCGCUGUAUCAUAUGGUUUCUCACCGUUCCAGAUCUUAGUGCCGCCAAGCAAUUCUUCUCUAGCCCUCCUUCCAGCAUGCACCGUGAGAAGGGACAGCAGUCCUCCGAACCCCGCCUUUCGUGAUCCUGUACGGGAGAGGGGCGAUCAGGUUUUUGGGGAGCACACUCAUGUGACUGCUGCCAGCGACGACUUCCUCAACGACAGCCUUCUUCCCCGACCUCGGUAACCUCUUCAUCAACGACAUGAGUGACAACAUCAACCACAUCGGUUCUGGUCCCGCUGUACAGUAUGUGAUUCUGUCCUCCUGGUUUAGUCCGCAUCAUUACUUUGAUGUUUGCAAUUCUCGUCAUGAUCUAUUUACUGCUGAUUCGGAUUAAAUCUCAUACUAAAUUGCUCAUAUAUUCAACAAUCCAAUCCAAAAACCUGAUCACAGGGAAUUUACUCCGAGUGGUUUUGCUGCGCUUUUGAAGCCGCCUACUUUUAAGGGGGUGCAAUAUAAAAGGUGGCGCACAAGAGCAGUAUAUUGGUUUCAGAUCAUGUACUGCUAUGACGCCACUAAGGGUAAGCCUGAGGGCGAUCUUAAUCCUACACAGCAGGAAGCUUUUCAGAACAUGGAUACCCUCUUCAAAGCCGCCCUGCUGAGUGUUCUUGACGAUUCCAUUGUGGAUUCGUAUAUGUUGUUUGACAGCGCAAAGACAUGUGGGUUGCGCUCGAGGCCACGUUUGGGCCCUCGGGCGCUGGCAACGAGUUGUAAGUCAUGGAGCAAUUCUGUGACUACAAGAUGACUGAUGAGCGCUCUGUUGUUCAGCAGACUCAUGAGAUACAGUCACUCUCUAAGGAACUUGAGUACUUUAAGUGUGUGUUGCCGGACAAAUUUGUUGCUGGGACCAUCAUUGCCAAGCGUCCACCUUCGUGGAACGAUUUUGCUACUUCUCUGAAAAACAAGAGACAUGAUUUUUCUGUUUUGGAUCUCAUUAGCACUCUUGAUUUUGAGGAGAAGGCGAGAACAAAAGACACACUUGCUCGGGUCGCCGAGGGAGCUUCUAGUGCCCACAUGGUACAUGAGAAGAACUUCCAGCCCAACCAGCCCCAAAACAACAAGAACAAAUCUCAGGGGAAAGGCAAGUUUGAUGCAAAGAACAAGCCGUCACAUUCUACCAACUUCAAGAAGAAUUCUCAUAACGGGAAGGGAUACAAACCUCAAUUUUGGUGGCACCGCACAAAAUUUAUAUGGCUGCAUCUACCUGCUGUCAGCUAACCUCAUGGUGCUCCAGGUAUUCCUACAUUCGUAACUAGGUACAAUGACCACCACAAGAUGAAAUUAGCUUAUUCGUACGUUGACUUGCUGAAUGCAGUGUGGAACGAUCCUGUCAUGUGUGGAGGAGCAAACAAGCAGUGCAACCGAAGGUGGAAAUCAACCAAGGACUUAUGAAAUUAUAUGUAAUCUUCCUUAGGCAGGUCAGUAUCCCCUUCGUCCAGAUGAUCGUGUUUUGUCAUGCCGAGCUAUUGAUAUGUGCUACUAUUUUGCAACAUCGUUUAAGUAUAGCUACUAUUUUCCUAUCUUUUCAGAUUCAGGACAAUGAAUAUGAUAUCAGGGGAACUGCACAGUAUGGACCCAUGUUGAGUCAUCUCUAUUGCCUCAUGUGUUUGCUGCAAAUGUGUCAGCAUCAAUUGCAAGAUGAGGCAGCUAGCUAGCUGUGGAGUUGCCAACAUGCUCAAAGUGCUCGCAACAUUGAGAAGAAACAAGCAUGCCCAGGAAAUUAAUGCGUGCGCAGGGAGGCCCUUUGCUCAGAGAAGCAUCGAUCGAUUUUCUUUAUUUCCACACCUUCUCACAGUUUUGUAUAUUGGUUAUAGUAUGGUGAAUCAUUGAGAUGCAUAGACAUGCUGAACUUUUAUUCUUCUGAAUGUUAGUUUAAUGUGAGUGUCUGCAUCCAGUACCGCAUCCUCUAAUUUGGUGGAUGCACACAGAGAAAAUAAAUCUCCUUAAUUUACUCCAUAACCACCCUAUUAAAUAGGCCUAGUAACAAACCAGGCGCAUGCAGUGGCCGGCGGGCACAUGCAUCCUGCAUGCAUGGCCAGUCAUGCAGCAACGCAAAAGAAGAGAGCGGUUCUUGAGAAAAAGCGAGUAGUUAGUGCAGCGGGCCCCCGCUCACCUUCUUCCUCACUCGUACAGAAAACGCCUGCUCCUCUUCUUACACUCCUACAGAAAUCCCCAGCCCUCCUUCUUCCCCACUCGCACUGCCACUAGGCUCAUCUCUGGCUACUCUACUCAAACCCGUGAGCUCGGCGUGACGCCCACAAGGAAAAUGGAGUCGGCUGGCCCCAGCACCAAGAAGAUGAGGCUCCCGCCAGCGGCGACGCUGGUUGUAGAUCCCGCACCCGGUAGCGCNNNNNNNNNNUGAGGAACCGGUAGAAUCUCCGGUGGACCGCAUCGGCAAUCCCCCGGACGUCAUCCAUGAGGAGAUCAUCUCGCUUCUCCCCACCAAGGAUUGCUGCCGCACACAAGUCCUCUCAACUCGGUGGCGCCCUCUAUGGCGCACCGCGCCCCUCAAUCUCGACUGUUGUCAGAUAUCUGUCCUUCCUGAAUUUGAUCUCAUCAGAGCCAUCGUCUCUUCUCACCAGCAGGGCCCCGUUCAAUACCUCUGCAUCCCAACAAGCUACUUGUUGUCCAUACCCGGCAAGGUGGACGCUUGGCUGACAUCCCCUGAAUUCGGAAAACUCCAGCAGUUUGAGUUCUACCAUUACCAUGAAAGUUUCAUACCACGAACAUACCAAGAAUUCGUGCCCACACCACAGUUGUCCAUCUCGCAGUUUUCCUCCUCUCUCCACACCGCCACCUUCGCCCGGUGCCAUCUACCAGACAAUCUAGUACAAAUGCUUCGACUCCCACUGCUAAAAAAACUUUCGCUUGUGGUGGUUUAUCUGUCGGAGUCCUCACUGCACAGCAUCAUCCACUCCAGUUGCCCUGCCCUGGAGCGCUUGUUGAUUGUUUUGGGAAUAGAAAUCGGUAUCAGUUGUCUCCAAAUAAAGUCGCCUCACCUUAAAAGCAUUGGAAUUUGUUUUGAAGGAUAGCAGCUCAUCAUCGAAGAUGCCCCUUCACUUGAAAGGUUGCUCCUUGAUAAUUGUUAUACACCUUCAGAAAUAACUGUCGUCUCUGCGCCCAAACUGGAGACCUUGGGUGUAAUUAGUGACCCGUUUAAUAAUCACAAGGAGUUGGUGUUUGGCUCCUCACCUUUUCAGGUACCGUAUAUUAUCAUCUACACAUUUGUAAUCAUAUGCUGCAUUUUUCAUUUGUGCGCAUAAGUUUUAUAUCAUCUUGGAGUACACUUUGGGUACUAAUAUUAUGUUAUAUGCUCAAUGAAGAGUUCGUCCAUUGAUAGCCUAUCAAUGCUGCUGGAUUCUGUCAAGAUCAUAUAUAUCAGAAUGUAUAGUUUUGAUCUGGACAUAAUUAUUGGCUUGCUGUGAUGCUUUCGAUCUCUGGAGAAUUUAUACAUAGAGGUGAUGAUUUCAUGCACAUUGAAAGCCCGUAUAUAUUGUACUAGAAUUAACUGUUCAGCUGUCGUUCUUUCGACAUACUCUUUUUUCAGACCUUAGCUAUUUUCAAUCUUCAUGUCUACUUAGGCAGAACCACCUGGAGAAAAACAUAUAACCAAUCGUUGGCGUAAUAAGCACAAGGAUUUUCUCAGUUCUCAUGAUAUUCGUUUGAGGACAAUAACGAUGGGACGAUAUGCAUCCAACCAGGAAAACAAAAGCUUUGUCACAUUGUUCCUGUUGAAUGCGAGGUUACUAUUGUCCAUGAGGCUUAAAUUUUACAGCAAGAGAUUUCUCACGGACGAACAUGUUGAACAGCAAAAAAGAUGUUUCAAGUGGACAAAUGGGCUUCUAAAUGUGCUCGGCGUCUAUUUACAACAAGUUGUAGACAUCCUAAAUUAAUUUUUUUUGCACAGGAUGUUGAUUUUAUGGAUCAGACCGAUCCAUUUGUUUGUGACUGCAAAAAAGAGUGGUUGGGUUAGAUGUUACUAUCAUGUUCAAUCUGGGUUUUGUCUAAAAAAAUUAUGAACAAUUAAUCCUUGGGCUUUUUGUACCAUUUGUAUGCUUGACUUGUAUGUUGUUGCCCUCGUACUCCCCUCCACCUGCCACUACACUACCGCAUCUUCCAUGGCUGUUGUUCGUUCCCGUCCGAGGCCUUGCCAUCGUUCUCCGCCUUAGUUAGCUCACUGUGCUCGCCGCCGUCUGGUGUUGUCAACAUGGUCAACAACCAAGAGGAAUCAGGAGA
rnacentral:lncRNA from 1 species